UAUAAUGUCACGAGAGCUAGUACCGUUGCCAAGCAGUAAUUAGUAGUGCUGAGUUUAGAAUAGGAAACGGAUCCAGGAGUCGAAAGAUAGAAAAAAUACUGAAGUGCGAGUGUCCGUAUGGAAACAGCAACCAAAAGCAUGUAACAGGUCCCAAACAAGGAAAGUGUUAUGAGAAUAAACAAGGACAUUGAACGGCUGGGUAGGAGAUACGCUGUUAAAACAGUUGUUGCCCAAAAGGUUAAAGUGUUGUAUAACCAAAACAUUGUGGACACGUCUAGUAUAUUUUCUAUUUUUUUUUCUUCAGCGGGUGGAGGACUUGGUACGGGUCCAGUGCUGGUUGAACCUAAAGAUAUGUCAUACGUGAGAUGGAAAUUCUGGGAAUUUGAAAUGGUAUCAGGCUGCUUUGGAGGGUUCAAAGUGGCAGUGUAUGUGGCUGUUAUAAUUAGCACUGUGACUACUAAAAAUGUGUUACGCGUCUCAUGUGGGAUUCCCUUCUUUCCACGACUUGCUAUUGUUGCAAUUUUUUGAAGAACUGACACCUUUCCUUUUAAAGAUUCGAUGGGGAUUGAAGAGAUGGAGGCUUUGGGAAGCGAGGAAGAGGAACCACGCAAACCUCCUGCUUUGCUUAUCAUAUCUUUAAUGGACUCCUUAUAGUCCACUCUCCCUUCAUCCAAUGGGUAUUGUGAUGGGAUAUCAAGUGCAGUCAAUCCCUCCGCAUUUUUGGCAUUGAUAUGGUCUCCACACAAGCGUUUCAGCAGUACUUUUACCACCUGUUAAUUAGAAUAUUCAUACAAGUAACCUUUGAGUAUAUAUAUACAUAAAUAAUUUUACUAGCAAAAUUAUCAUACCUGAGGUCUGUUUCUGAUAGUAGCAACAUGUAAAACAGUGUUGCCAUCAAUGUCUGCCCAACUCAGUAGUUCUUUCUCCCAACGGUUGGCAGCUUUAUGGCGGCUCCUUAUAAGCCACCCCACCAAGACUUGGAAAGCUUCAAACCUGUCAUUUUUUACGGCAAGAUGGAAAACCGUCUCAUCUCGAACAGUCACAUCUUCAAUAGCCUCGGGGCAAACCUCAAGGAACUUGAUCAAAAAAUCAACAUUUCCAUUUUGAACCACAUGAUGCAAAGGAGUGAAGCCCUCCCGCCCUUUGACACGAACAAGGCCUUCAUCAAACCUGAGGAGUCGAAGCACUGCUAGAGUUUUUUGAUUUUGCAGAGCCAAGUGCAUGGGGCUAAACCCAGCUUGGUUUAGCUUUCUUGCAAACGAUGGCUUUAAGUUGAUCAUCUCCAUCAUAAAAUCAAUAUGCCCUGCAGAAGCUGCUACAUGCAAAGGAGUAUGGAAAAAAGGUACAUCAUCGAUACGCUGUAAAACAUAUGGAUCAUUCAGAAUUAACUCAUACAAGAUGUUUAUGUCUCCUGUUUGUGCAGCACCUAUCAUCCUCUCAUCCAUAGCAAGGUGCGGAAAUUUGCAGAAUAUAGAAAUGGAGUGAAGAAAAAACGCUUUAGCAGAGGAUAUGAUUAUGUUAAGGAUAUAAUGAAGUGUUUGAUUAUUUUUUCCAGAUGAAGUGUUAGACAUUUUAUAGCACUUAAUUAUUUUGGAUUUAUAUGUGAUGUCAGCCUCUACACGUAUAUACGUGAAUGUCACCUAUUAGAAAGAAAUAGUAAUUAAAUUCAUAUUUAAUAUACAUUUUUAAUCUAAUUUUUUUAAUUCAAUUUAAUUUUAGUUAAAACGUUUAAAAACAUUUAUUUAAUCUAAUUUCUUUAAUAUAUUAAAUAAAAAAGAAAUAUUAAAUAAAUUGGAUUAGAGAAUAUAUUGAAUAUGGAUGAAUACUGUAUCAUACUAAUUUUAUGUCUCUAAAAAUUUUAUAUAUUAUUUAGUGGUUUAAUUUUUUAAGAACAUUUGAUAUAAUUCAUAAAGAAAACAAAUAAUAAUUAAUAAUAAAUUUUUUAAUAAAAAAGGUGUGAAAAAUGGUAAGUAGAUAAUAGCUAUUAUCGCUUACAACAUGUUUGGAUUAAAAAGAAGAAAAAAGAAGGGAAAAUUAAGUAAAUUGAGGGAAAGAAAAUUCGGUUUCUUUGUUUAAGUAAAGAAAAUUAAGUAAAUUUUUUAUCGUAUCAUUAGAUUUUAUAUUUUAGAUUAUUAUCUCUUCUUCUUCUUUUUAACUUGUAACAAUCUUAUUUUUAUUUUCUAUUUUUUUAGGUUACUAGAAAUAUUUAAUUUUAAAUUUGUUUGAUAUAUAUUUUUAAAAAUUUUAACAAUAUUUUUUUAUUAACUAUUUUGUUAAAUUAUUAGGAAUCCUUCAUUUAUAAUUUGGUUAAGAUUUUUUUUUUAGUUUGAUCAAAUAAGCUUAUUAAAAAAAGAAUAUACCAAUAUAUUAUUGGUUAACAUUUUAAUUAUUAUUUUAUAUAGAAUAUUGAUAUUUUUCUAUAAAUUUAAUUUGCUGUGAUUUAAUUUUGUUAUUAUAUAUUAUUUAUGAACUGUUAAAAUUAAAAAAUAAAAGUAAAAUAAUUCAUUUUCUUUCCUUUUCACAGUUUAGCAAAACAAGUCCACAGGCUCGUCUCAUUCAAAAAAAGUAAAUUAUAUAUAUAUAUAAGGGCUAGUUUUAACAAAUGAAAAAUAUAGAAAAACUAUAUUAAAAGAAAUGGGGAAGGGAAAAGAACAGAGGGAGAAACAGAAGAGAAUGAAAAAUAAAGAAAAGUUAAAAUAACAUAAAAAAAAUUAAGGGUGGGUUUGGAUGGGCGAUUGGGUGCGGUGCGGUGCGUUUAGCUUAUUUUUUGUCUCACACUACAGUGUCGCUACAGUAUCUAAUCUCACCGCCACCGCUGUUUUUACACUAACUGCAGGUAAACGCACCGCCCAUCCAAACCCACCCUAAAUUGAAUUGCUCAAAACGAAAAAAUUAUAGGAAUCGGUUGUAUAAAUCACCCUAAAAUUUUUGUUUGAAAGAUGAUUUAACAUGUCACAUCAGUUUAUCGUUACACCAUUAACGGAAAUUAACAGCUCAGUGACUAAAAUGUUACAACGUGAUAACGUAAAUGACUAAAAUGUAACGUUUCAAACAUAAGUGACUAAAAUGUAAGCAAAAGUGACUAUUUUAAUAAUUUACCCUUGCAUUUAUCCAAACAUACGCUUAACGUAAACAUUUUUUUAAUUAUUUUUAUUUUAUUUUAUUUUUUACCAUUAUCCGUUAUCCUUAUUUUUAAAAAGUAUAAUUAAUAAAUAGUAUAAUUAUUUUUUAAAAUUAAUUUUAAGUAAUACACCAAAUAGAUUUUAUAACUUAAAUUUAAUAUUUAAUUUUAUAAUUUUUUUUUAUCAAACAACGUUUACUCCUAAGUAAAUAAAUAAAUAAAGGCCUUGUGUAAUUAAGAAAGUUGAGAAAGAGUUAGUCCUCACAUUGGCUAAAAUAACGGAGGAAAGAGAAAAAUUGGCCAAUAAUGGGGAGGCAAUGUCAAUGAGCAUACCCCACACAUACUAUUUACUGUCAAUGGUGAUGGCUGAAUUGGCUACUAUACAUGGAUUUUGUUUUCCUUUUCUUUUUUGUUCUUGUCCUGUAUUAUUUGCAUUUGUGAUCCCAAACUAUGUAAAAUUCCAGUCACUAUGUGAUCACAUUUUAAAAAAAAAAUUAUUUAUUAUCGAUUGAGUAUCAGCUUGAUUGGUAUAAAUAUUAUUGUUAAUGUAUAAGAACAUAAAUUUGAGUGUGUUAAAGCGCAUUAUCCUCUUAUUUAUAGAUUGAGAAGUGGUUAUUGGUAGUUCUAGACAUUGUGUAGAAAAGAAUACAUAUAAUCAGAAUCUAUAUUAAAAUUUUUCAAAAAAAUAUAUUUAUUACACAUGAAUUAAAAGAAAUCUAUUUAUGGGUAGUUCAAGAUUGUUGAAGCUAUAAAAUAAAAAUUCAAUUCGAAAAUAUAAAUCUCUUUUGUUUAACAAAAUAUUAAUAAUUAGUUGAGUUAAUAUUAUGAGUCAAUCGAACACCAAUUUAAUUAAGAAAUUACGAAAAUAUCGUUCCAUAAUUAAAAUAAAUUAUAUUAUUUGAGGAUAUUUUAAUAUUUUUUAUGUAAAAAAAAAUCAAUAAAAAUAUGAAUAUGAUGGGAUUUGAAAUAAAAUCUAGAAUUUACCACUCAACCAAAAUUUUAUUUUAUUAUAUUUUAUACAUUUUUAUUUUAAUAAGCACACUUUAUUAUCUCCGUCAGUUAUAUAUAUAUUAAUAAAUUUAUUGAUUGAGUUGAUAUCACAAGUCAACUCAAUACUAACCGACAAUUGAAGACAACACUUUGAUAGACAGUUGUAGUGCAUUUAAUUAAUAUUUUUAUUUUGAUGUAUUUAUGUGUUUAAAUUUUAUUUUUGCUCCCAAAUUAAUUUAAUUUUUUAUUUUAAUGUCAUACAUAUUUUAUAUAUUCUUAUGAUUAAUUAGCUUCAAACCAUAUGUUUUAUUAUUUAUUUUAUUUUUUUAAGCAUAUAUCUGUAUUCCAAAUCUAAACGCAAUUGCUUAUGUUAGUCAAUGUUACAAAUUGAGAAAUUUAUUAAAACUAUUGAAAUCUUCACAUCUAACCUGGUUUUAUCAUGUUUGGAAGACGCUAUUGAUCUUCUUCAAGUGGUUUUUUCACAAAUAUACUAUUCAUAUAUAUAAAAUAUGAUGAGUAAUAAUGUAUAGUGACGUGUCCAAACACUAAUUGAUGAAAAAAGUGAGUAAUAUUUUAUUACAACAUGAUGCCUUUUCAUAGUAUAAAAUGACUAUGCGAAUGAGGGCUUCCUACCAUUACCAGAAAGCUGAGGCUGUAGGAAUGAUGGCUUUUGCAAGUUGUGAUUUUAGGAUUUUGUGUUUGAUUAUUGUUUAGUUAUGCUAAAAUGUCACAUAUGGGUACUGUUUUAAGUUAUGUGUGAAUUCUAAGUUGAAUAUGUAGCCGCCUAAAAUAUUUAGGAGCGCUAAUUGAGAUCAUUACGAAAGAAAAUUGUAUUCUAACGGUGUAUGAAAAUUUGGACAAAAAUCUCAACUUUUUAUUUUUUUUUAAAUUUUAUUUUUGCUCCCAAAUUAAUUUCAUUUUUUAUUGUUGUACAUAUUUUAUAUAUUCUUAUGAUUAAUUAGCUUCAAGCCAUAUGUUUUAUUAUUUAUUUUAUUUUUUUAAGCAUACAUCUGUAUUCCAAAUCUAAACACAAUUGAUUAUGUUAAUUAAGGUUACAAAUUGAGAAAUUUAUUAACACUAUUGAAAUCUUCACAUCUAACCUGCUUUUAUCAUGUUGGGUAGAUGCUAUUGAUCUUCUUCAAGUGGUCUUUCACGAGUAUACUAUUCAUAUAUAUAAAAUAUGAUGAGUAAUAAUGUAUAGUGACUGUCCAAACACUAAUUGAUGAAAAAAGUGAGUAAUAUUUUAUUACAACAUGAUGCCUUUUCAUAGUAUAAAAUGAUUAUGCGAAUGAGGGCUUCCUAACGAUGGCUUUUGCAAGUUGUGAUUUUAGGAUUUUGAUUGUUUGAUUAUUGUUUAAUUAUGCUAAAAUGUCAUAUAUUUGUGAGCCCUACACUCACAUCAAAUUUAGAUAUGACAAACAUGAUUUAAAACAAAACCAUAUUAUAUUACUAGCUGUGAGCAAUUUAAAGAAAUUGAAUUUCUUUUUUACAAUUUUAAGUUAAUCAAUUAUUUGAUUUUUUAAAAUUAACUUGAAUGAGUGAUUUUGUUUUUCAAGUUUAAGUCAAGUUGAAUUUUACAACUCAAAUAUAAAUAUCUCUUGGGUCACUGAUAGUUUUAAAAAUGUACAAACUGAUCUGUCUCAAAAAUUUUAAAAAUUCAAAAUGAUCUUCUAAAACUCAAAAUAUUUAUAAAAUAUUUUCCCAAAAUUUUAUAAAUACAUAUAAAUUCAAAGAAUUUACCACUUAAAAAUAUAUAAAAAAUAUUAAAUUAUAUUUUUUGAAAAAAUUAAUAAAAUAAAUUUGAGGUCUUAAAUAAGUAACUUAUUAAUUCAAUUUUAUCAUACUAAUUAUCUUGUAUUCCAAGAGUUUUCAUAUAUAUCAGGGGCGAAGCCAGAAAAUUUUUUUUUAGGGGGGCAAAAUGAAUUUUUUAUUUUUAAUAGUCUAUAUCUUUAUAUUAAUAUUUGAACUGGUAUAAAUUAAGAUUGUUACGUCUAACAUUUAUAUCGAAUAAUUUUUACUAUAGAGAAAAGAAGUAAAAAUAAUAAUAUAUGAUGUAAAAUUAUUAAUUUGAGUCUUAACACAGUCGGUAUUUGUAUGUUGUUUAUGUAAUAUGGAGUGAGUUCAAGUAUGUUCAUGUGUAAUUUUUCUUUCUAUUUAAAGGUUGGAGAGGAGUUAGGGUGAAGCUAGAAUUUAUUUUUUUUGGGAGACGAAAUUAAGUUGUAUAUUUUUAUGAGAGUUAAAAUACAAUUUCACAAUUUCAAUAGAUUAUAUGUUUACAAUUUUUAAAGAACUAAAUCAAUAUUUUAUCAUUUUUUGGGGCUAAAGUACAAUUUUACCAUUUAUUAACUUAAAAUUUUAUAAACUUAAUUUAAAGGGUUAAAAUUUGAAUUUCACAUUUUAAAGGGAGGGAUAGAAACCCUUCUAGGCUCCCCUCUUGCCGCCCCCCUAAGAUGAUAUAAAGUAAAGCAAUAAGUGUCUAAAAUAUAUGAAUUAUGAGUACUGAUUACACUUGACCAAUUGCUUUUCUUCAAACAAAGCAAACACUAAUGCACAUGAAAAUGCAAAUUCACAUGCAACCUAGAUAUGCAUUCUAUAUACAAUGCAAUGCAAUGAAUAAAUAAAUAAAUAAAUAUAUAUUAUUUAAUCAUGAGAGUUUUGAUCCCCUUGUGAUUCUUUAACCAACCAUUCUCACACCUAAUUAUAAUUCUAGUAUAGUAAAAGUACGUGAGUGAGUUGAAUGGAUGGUGGUUGUUUGACAUAACAUGUAGAAAGUGAAAAAAUAGUUGAAAAUAAAUCAAGUAUUAAAACAAAAAAUUUAUGAAAGAAAUUCUAGUAUUAUCAAUUUUUCGUGAGGCUCAAAGCUAUUUGGAACAAAAAUAAAAUCAAUGUGUAUAGGCUUAACAAAAUAGCUAUCAUCUUGCAUUGUUAUUUCAUCCUAACCUCUUCCCUCAUAACUUCAUCUUCUAUUUUCUGUUUGACAUUAUCAAAAGUAAAACAUAGUUUUUUUAGGUUUUUCGACUAUUUAUGCAUCAAACUUUUAGGCCAUUUUGGACAUCUUCAUAAUGUUUUUGGGCUUUAAUCUAAGAAAUAAAUUUAGAUAGAUCUUUCAAGUCACAUCAACAUUUCAUAAAUGAUUUAAUAAAUGAGUAAUAAAAGGAUUUAGGGUUAAUGUGCAAAUUUGUCACUAUACUUCAAUUUGAUUGGUAUUUGAUAUUUGAUAUUGAAUUUUAUUGCUUUAAUUUAAUUGAAUUUUGCCACUAAAAUUAGAAUUUUUAUUGAAUUUUCUAUUCAAUUUAAAUUUAAAAUAACUUGAAGGCUAAGUUGAUUAAAAAAUAGUUUUAUAUUUCGCUUUAAUAUUAAAAAAUAAUAAGUUAAUUAAUAUAAUAUUAAAUUUAAAUAAAAUAGUUAUUUUAUAAAAUAAAUUUUUUUUUCUCUUUUAUGAGAUAUGGACUCAUUAACAAUAGAAAUUCUAAUUUAAUUUAUUAAUUUUUAAUAUUUAUAAGUUAAAUUAUUGUUAAAUAUUAAAAUAAAAUAUUUGAAAGAAUUUUUCUUAUUAUAUAUAUUAUGUUUUAAAAUCAUCAAAUUAAUAUUGAGUGGUAAAAAUUAAUUAAAAAAUUGAUUUGGAGAAAUUUUUUAAUAAAAUUGAAAAUUUAUAGUAAAAUUCAAUCACAUAAUAGUUGAUUGAUAAAUUUACACAAAAACUUAAAAUAUAGCUAUGAAUAUCAAUGAAAAUAAAGUAUAGUAGCAAAAUUCAAAGUAUAGUGACAAAUCAUAUAAGUUCAAUGAAUAAAAGAAAUAAAAAAUUAAAUAUAUGAUUAAAAAGAUUUUUUUUUUUUUACGAAAUUGAAAGAUCAAAUAAAUCAUUAUACGUAAUAUAAACAAAAUCACAAGUAUCCUUAAACUUGGCUUAAUUGCCAAUUAGACAAUUUAGGAUGUCAGAUGCAUAAUCAACAAUUUGGAGAUAAAAGGAUGAAUAACCAAGUAUUUUUAUAAAUAAAUUUGUUUUAGAAGAAUGGGAUGAGUUUUAGAGUAUAUAGAGAAGUAGGGUAGUUCUUCCUUCUCCGCAUAGUGGUUUUGCCUACAAUAAUGAAGCAAAGGGAAAAACACGAGGAUGAGAUGCAAUGAAUUCCCCUUGCAUACCCAAUACGUACUAUUUACUAUUUCUUUUCCCACUGAGAAGUUGGUAUUUUGGAAUUAUCGUUUUCAGCUCUACAAAUGUUCUUGGUGCUGUGUCUGUCUUUCUUUGGUGGGUUCUUGCUUUCUGAAUCUGGUUCUACUGUCGAUUUGGAUGGUUAGGAUACAGCGCUUCAGGCAACUGAUGUUCAAAAGGUUCGAUGGCAUUGGGGAUAUGAUGAUUUUAAGUUUAUUGUCGCCCCAUCAGUUGGUUGUUUGGGUGCACAACUAAAUUUUAGUAUUAUUUUAUUUUCCAUAAUUAUAUUUAUUUAAAUUUUAUAAAUAUUUUCUAAGUCUUAAGAUUUUAUUUUUUGCAUUUUAUGAUUUCUUUUUUUGGAUUUUUAAUGGUUUUUAAAUUUUUAUAAUUUUUCUAAAAUGUUUUAAGUAUUUUGAUUGUGUGAGGUUUUGUGAAUGAAGCGAAGGGUAUCUUUAUUGUGGUGAACUUUUAAUUAGCUCAAAAUGAAGUGAUUUAUUACGUCGUGUGAUUUACGGAUAAGUGUUAAAAAUGAAAUGAAUUGUUGAAUUUGAAAACAAUGGUGUAAUAUUGCAGGGAUUUCCAACAUUAUCAUAAAUUUUAGUGAAUUUAGAGACGAAAUCACAGGUCCACUGAGUUUUGUUCAAAUUUAGGGAUUUCAUCGUCAUAUACGGUCGAUUUGGAUAGUUAGCAUACAAAGCUUCAGAUCAUUGAUGUUCAAAAGGUUUGGUGGCCAUGGGUAUAUGUUGAUUUUGAGUUUAUUGUUGCCCCAUAAGUUAGUUGCACUAAAAAAAUGGGUAUUACCGAUGCUAAAAAUUGUUACUAAAAUUUUAUUGUAGCAAUAAAAGUUGUUGCGGGAUUGUUGUGUAUAUCUUUGUUGUCUAAAAUAUAUGCAACUCUACUCAAUUACACAAUAUUUACUCUUAAAUAUGACCUAUUCAACCACCGAUUUCAGCACAUUAAACACAAAUUAAUAAUCUAGAAAUAUCAAACCAAGAAUUAAAUACACAUAAUUGAGAACAAUAAAUUAAGUGUUUAUUGCAUAAAAUAAAAAAUAAAUGAUAGAAUCCAUCAUAGAGUUCACCUCCCUAGGUAUUUAGAAAAUUAGUUCAAGCUUGAAAAUAAAAACAUCCAAGAAAUAGUACAACCAAAAGAAAUAAAGAAAUUCAUGAUAAUCUCCUAAGAAAUCAACUGAGAAUCUUCAAUCUUGACAGAAAUUUGCUUCCAACUUGGCUUCAAUGGUAUUUUUCGAGUUGUUUUCUUGAAUAUUUUAUGACGGCACUCUCAUAUCUUCUUAAUUUUGUCAUAUAUACGUCUUAGAAUGCCCAAAAAACUUAAAAAUUGUGAUUUUAUGCUGUUUGUGUGGCAAUUCCACGAAAUCGACACAGCCUACUACACACCAGUGUGGGUCAUACGACUGUGUGCUUUCCUCGUGUGAAAUUUAGAAAAUGCAAAAGAUUCCCUAUGCACUAGCUGCUGGAAUCUAAUGUAUGCUCAAGUAUGUAUGCGUCCAGAUAUUGCAUACAUUGUUGGGAUGUUAGGCAAACAUUUAAGCAACCCUGGUAUAGACCAUUGGAUAACAACUGAAAGGGUUAUGAGGUAUCUUUAGAGAACAAAAUAUUACAUGCUCACAUAUUGGAUGUUUGAUAAGUUAGAGAACAUCAAGUUUACAGACUCCAAUUUUGAUGGAAUAUUGAUGCAACAUUUUGCCACUAGAGUGCAAACUGUGACAAUAAUUAGUAGUCUCUUAUUCCAAUAACAAUAAAAGCACAUCAAAGUCAAAGCACAUAGACUUUAAGUUCAUAGUUGUUAAAAUAAAAGUUCAGGGUGGUUAGAUGUCUAUAAAGUAUAUUGAGACAAACUUCAUGAUUGCGGAUUCGCUUACUAAGGGACCACCACCCAAAGUUUUUUUCAUGAGCACACUAUUGAUAUGAGUGUAAUGUCAUUCACUACAGAAUAAGUUUUUAGUGGCGUUAUUUUGGGGCUAUAACUGCCUUAUAAGCGUCGCUAAAACAACUUGCGGCGUUUUGAAAAGCACCGCUAAAAACGCCACUAUAGAACAUGACCUUUAGGGGCGCUUUUCCCACAAAUGCCGCUAAAAGUAUGACCUUUAACAGUGUUUGUGGGGCAAACGCCACUAAAGAACAUGACCUUUAGCGGCGCUUUCUCCACAAACGUAACUAAAUGUCAUGUUCUUUAGUGUCGUUUUUAGUAAAAGCGCCGCUAAAAUUCAUGUUCUUUGGCGACAUUUGUGGAAAAAUGCUACUAACUUUAGCAGAUUUUUACCAACCCAUUUUCAUUCAUAUAGAAUCCUAAUUGUUAACAUAAUUUCCUGUAACAUCAAAUCCAACCAAAAACUAAAAAUUUAAAUGAUACUUCAAUUCCAACGAAAGAAAUAUGUAUGUGAUCUAAAUCAGUAAAUGAAAUAACAAAAUAUAUUAUAUUCAAAAGUUAUAUUGUUAAAAUAUUCUCACAAUAAGAAAACAAACAUCUAAGAUGAUGGAUUCUACGACUGUUGAAACAUCUUCAUCAUAUUCUGAAGCUGUAGCUGGAGUUUGUCAUAUUUUUUGCUUGCCCCUGCUUCCCUUGCUGCCGCCUCCGCUUUAAGUUAUAGUUGGAGUUUUUCAUAUUUUCUUUAAGUCUUUGCUUUUCUCGAUGCUGCCUCCACUUUAAAUUGAGCAAUUUGCUCAACUGUGCUCGCUUGCAUUUGAACCAUCUGGUCUCUUAACCUCUGAACUUCAGCUUGAGCCUGAUUCUCUGAAGGCAUGUAUUGUUGCGAACUGGAUCCAAAAUAUUGGGUUGGGUUAACAAAAUAUCCUUGAAAUCAAACCCGACCAUACUUUUCGAGACCCAAAACUUCGGUAAUAAUUCAGUUAUCAAUGUCAUCAAUAUUAACAGAACUAUCACUUGAAGCGAUCGCUUCAUACUCUGCCCUUUUAUCCUUUAGUUUCUCCUAAUAAAUCAACCAAAGAGUUAGAAACGAAAUAUAUAAUCAAAACAAAUGCAAUAUAACUUUGGGAGUCUAAUGUAUGCUCAAGUAUGUAUGUGUCCGGAUAUUGUGUACAUUGUUUGGCUGUUAGGCAAACAUUUAAGCAACUCUAGUAUAGGCCAUUGGAUAACAAUCGAAAGGGUUAUGAGGUAUCUUUAGAGAACAAAAUAUUACAUGCUCACAUAUUGGAUGUUUGAUAAGUUAAAGAACAUCAAGUAUACAGACUCCAAUUUUGAUGGAAUAUUGAUGCAAAAUUUUGCCACUAUAGUGCAAAUUGUGACAAUAAUUAGUAGUCUUUUAUUCCAAUAACAAUAUAAGCACAUCAAAGUCAAAACACAUAGACUUUAAGUUCAUGGUUGUUAAAAUAAAAGUUCAGGGUGGUUAGAUGUCUAUAAAGUAUAUUGAGACAAACUUCAUGAUUACAGAUUCGCUUACUAAGGGAUUACCACCCAAAGUUUUUUUCAUGAGCACACUGUUGAUACAGGUGUAAUGUCAUUUAAGGAUAUUUGACUUUAGUGGGAGUUUGUAUUUUUAAAUUUUUUUAUGUUACAGACACAUCGGUUAUCUCAGUUUACGAAUAUUAAGUUUAUUUUCUUUAGAAAUAAAGUUUAUUUGGUAAAGUUUGACCUCACUAAGGUUAAGGAGGACCAUUUAGAAUAGGCAUGUUUGAAUCAUAUUGCAUGUAAUUUUCAUGUUACACAUCCAUACUUGAUCUAUGUCAUUUGGUUGUGCUAAUAUAUGUUAUUAGGGAUGGAUUUAGUUAUGAUAUAUGUAACAAAAGUCACAUUCGUUCUAUGUUAACUUAAUUAAUGAAUGAGAUUAUUUGGAAUACCUUUUGGAUAUGAUAGUAAAGUUUUGAGCUCAUAAAUUUAUAUAAUGACAUGUAAUUAUAAGGUAAUUGGUAUAUAUAUGUGGCCAAGUGGUAUGGACAUCACAUAUAUAAUAAGCCUAAUUACUCCAAAAUCCUUGCAGCCCUUUAAUGACUUUUAAGCAAUCAUAACCAUUUUAUUUACAGGUCAUUUGUAUGAAGGAACUUUGUGGUCAUGAUCGAGAGAUUCGAAUUUAGCAUAUUUACAGAGAAGGAAAUCUUGUUUCAGAUUUCUUGGCCCAUAUGGGAUUCCGGCUUUGAUCUAAGUUUACUACGAGAGCCACCUGGAAAUGCUCUCUCAAUUUCAACUAUACUAUGUGAUGAUAUUGCUAGUUCUUUGCCCUAUCGCCUGUGCUCAUUUGUGGUUAAUUAGUUUGUAAUAACCCAAAUUUGCCCAGGCUUACAACCCAAAAAUAAACAGAAAUAAAACCCAAAAAUAAAUAACAAGGCCCAAAUAAUAAUAGCCCACAAAACUUAAAAAAAAUCCAGCCAACUGAAACCCUAAUGCCCUCAUAUACGCCGCACCUCCUCCUCGGACACACUGCUCGUACCUCGUCCCAAGGUCUGACUCUUCCCAUAACAGCCCAAUUUUCAAUGAUAUCAGAAACAAUGAUUUUGGAUCACUAAAUCUGAUAAGUAAGCUUGAAAAUUUAAUAAUUAAUAAUUACGGGUCAAGUGUGAAUUUAGAAGAAUUUUUGAAUUAGUGAAUUUUGUUAUUUAAAAAGAAUUUAAUAGGUAAAUCGGGUCUAAAAUGAGGUAUCGAGACCUCGAAUCCAUAAGUCAACACAUAAAUAUUUUUAUAAAUAUUUAUGGAGUGCCAUUGAGUUAGUAUUAAAGUUUCAUCAGAAAAUUUUAACGUUUUGAUAGUCAAUUAAUUAAAAAGGACUAAAUAGAAAAGAUGCAAAACUUGCUAAAGUGAUUAAAUAGCCUAAAAAUUAAAUAAGGAAGGCCUAAAAGAUAAAAUGGACCAAUUUAAGUGGCUGAGGUGGCAUACGGUUAAAAAAAUUAAAGAUUUUUAUGUAUUUAAGGGCAAAAUUGGAAUUACAAUAAAGUUUAUGUGGCCAAAAUUUAUUUUAAGGAUUUCAAGACCAUUUCUUCUUGAAAUUUCGGUGUAAAACAGCCAUGGAAGAGGAUUGAGAGCUGAUAUUUUAUAUUUUAGCUUCAAGUUCAAUUCUUGUUUUUCCCUUGAAAUUUUUAUAUUUUUGGACUUUUACAAUUAGGUCCAACUUAGUAUUCUAUUAGUUUUUUAUUUUGUUGAAAGUUUUGGAAGAUACCAUUGAUAAGUUCAUAUGAUUUUUAUUAUUUGGUGAUGAAAUUGAGAUGUUAAUGGAUGUUUAAAGGUGUUUUAUUAAAUAAUUUUGGAUGAAAAUAUGUUUUAGGGAUUAAAUUGAAAAGUAUUGAAUUUGUGGAAAAUUCUAAAAUUUUAAGAAAUCCAUGGGCUUUCAUUGACAUGUAUGCGAAUGAUUAGGCUUGUAUCAAUGAUUAAAUUGAAAUAAUUUCAUUUUCCGAGCCUAGGGAUGAAAUCGUCAUGUAUUAAAAGUUUAGGGUCAAAAUGGUAAUCAAUAUAUUGCACUAAAAUAGUUUUGGGUAGUAGUAGUGUGCCAACUUUGAAAAAUCACCAAAAACUGUGGGAAUCGAAUUAGAAGAUGAGUAAAAGAUGAAAUUAAAGCUUAUUGUGUCUAGUUUCUCAUAGAAGAAACAGUGUAAGCAAUGGAAUUAUAAAUCAUGAGAUAUAAUAAAUUUUGUGAGACAGAGUCAGAAUAAUUUUGGAAUCCCCUGUUCUAAUUUUGGAAAAUCAUUAAAAAUUGUAUAAAAAUAAUUAUGAGUUAUAGUUUAUAUGUUUAAAAUCCUGAAAGAGUUUAUUUUCAAGAGAAACAAACAAGAACAUCACCCAAACUCUGUACAAUGAGAUAAUUACUUUUUGGUGAAGAGAGGUCAGAACUGUCAAACAGUGAAACAGGGGAGAAUUUAAAGAAUAAACUGUAUUUAUUGGCUAAGCCAAAAAUUCUAAAAAUUUUAUGGUAAAAUGAUAUAUGAGACUAGUUUCUGGAAAAAUUAACAAAUCUUAAUUUAGAGCUUCGUAGCUCGAGAUAUAAAUAAUUUAGUGACUCUGACUCGGAUAGACAACUUUGAAUUUAUGUAUAAGUAAAUCGUGAAAAUAUAGUUAAUGUUAUUUAAGCAUGUUAUAUACAUUAAGGAUGUGGAAUGGAGAGGAGGAGGAGGAAAAUUGGAAAAUAUAUGAAUGACUUGUGUAUGAAUUGGUCAUAUGCCUGAUUAUAAUCGAUAAACGUUGAAUUUGAAAUGAUAUAAUGUUUUAUUUCAAAUAGUUAUUAUGAAAUUAUGAUUAUCAUUAUGUUACAAAAUUUAAUUGUAAGUUCAUAUGGCAGAAUUUUAAUGAUUAAUUGUUAAUUUCAUAAUUAUAUAAUAUAUGAUGGGAUAUAAUUGUUGAUGAAUUGAGAAUAAAAUAACAAUGCGAAAAUCGAAUAAAUGAUCAAAUUUAGUGGAACGUCGGAUUUGAGUACUUCUGAUCAGUGACAAGUGAUAUAUGAUUUCCGUGUAAGACCAUAUUUGGGAUAUGGCAUCGUUGUGACAUGUGUUUCCGUGUAAGACCAUAGCUCGGCUAUGGCUUCGGUGUGUGAUAUGUAACGAUGUGCAAUACCAUAGCUAUACUAUGGCAAUGUGGAAACAAAGUACUCAAUUCCAUAAGACGUUCUCUAAUUUAUCAAAUUGUGGUAAGUGUUAAGCAAAUUUUAUGUGAUAAAACAUAUUGAACAGUGAAAUUGAGCUGAAUUAUGUGAUCUCAUCAUUCAGAGAUUGUGUUUGAUAGGUUAUGUUAAUAAAUUAUGUGUAUGUGAAUUUAAGUGACAGAAAUUAAACAGCUAAUGAUAUUGAGCUCAUUUACAUGAAUCUGUCAUUUGAAAUUGUGAUUGACAGAAAGAAAUAGUGAAUUGAAUAUGAAAAUGUGAAUAGAAAGCACAAACUAAAUGUUCUUGCGAUAAAUAAUGGCUCAAUGUGAUAGUAAAUGAUGUUAAUCUAAUGAAAGUUAAAUUGAAUUGUAAAUGACUUGAAUUAUCCGAAAAUGUUCUAUAAUCUCUGGUAAUGUCUCGGAACCCUAUUUCGGUGACAGAUACGGGUAAGGGGUGUUACACUUCCCCUGGCCACCUUGCCUAGCCUUGUAAAACAAAAUAGAAGAAGAAGAUAGAAGCGAAAAUAGCAGGGGAUAGCAGAAAAUAGUAGCAUAAUCGGCUGUAAAAGCCCCAAUGAAAUGUAAUUUAUUUUUUUUCUACGGAUAAUCAAAUAUUAAGAGAACAAAAUAUCAAUCGAAAAUCCUGAAGGUUUACUUCUACUGUUGUUUUAAGUUUUGGUUCAUUUUUAUUCUGCCUUUUAUUUUUCAUUUUUUUACAUACAAAGAAAGGAAAAAGAAACAGAAAUAAAAUACCAUAGUUUUAAAACAACAAAGGAAUUUCUUUGCAUAUUUAUCGAAAAUAGAGCAUAUAUACAUAGAUAUAUUCAAAAAAACACAAGUUUUUUUAACCUCUGUUGUGACUGAAGAAGGUGGAACCAAAUGGUUUUUUUUCGCCUUUUCUGAAUUUCAAAGGGGUUUCUUAGGAUUUUAACCUCGGAUUGAGAUUUGGGAGGCCGAAUAGGUCGAAAAGGGGCCUUUUUUUGAACUCCGGUCGACGUAUACGGCGGCAUACGGUGGUGGAUGACGGUGGACGGACGGUUGCCCAGUGACUAGGGUACAGCUAGACCACGACCGGAGGAAAAGGGAUUGAGAGAGAAUCCCCUGAUUUUUUUUGGAAAAAGAAGAAAAUGAAAUUUUUAAAAAAAAAUUGACUUAACUAGGGCCCCUAAACGGCGCCAUUUAGGGCUGGUCAUAAUAGCCCUAAAACGAUGUCGUUUUGCCCAAGACCCGCGCAUGUGACCCGACCCGCCAGAGGAUCCGCGUGUUUUUAACUUUUGGGCUAUUUGCGCUUUAGGCCCUUCAUCAUUUUUGGUCUAUUUCAAUUUAGUCCUUUUGCAUUUUUUCUUUAUUUUUUAAUUUAGACCACAGAUUUGUCUCGGUUUUCAAUUUGGUCCUCAAUUCGUUGGACCCCUGGGGAGGAGAUGCGUGGCCUGGAAAACUGGUUUAUUACCCAUUUGGCCCUCCUCCCUCUCGCGCUCUUUCAUUUUGGUCUUUCUUUAUUCAUUUUAUUAUAGCUUUGACCUUUAAAUUUCAUUUUUAUCCCGAGUUAGUCCAUCUUUGUUAUUUUUGUUAUAUUAUUAAUUAAUCUAAUUAUUAUCAUACUUAUAUUUUCUUUUUAUAUUUACUUAUUAUAUUAUUAUAUUAUACUAUUAGUUUUGUAUUAUUAUUAUUAUUAUAUUAUUAUUAUAUUUAUAUUUAUAUUUACUUAUCUAAAUUUUAAAUAUAUUUUGUCUUAGUAUAUAUUAUUAUGUAAUUACUUAUAUCUUUUGUAUUUUUUUAACUCUAGAUUAUUCGCUAUUCUAUUAUUAAUAUUAUUAUUGUUAUUAUUUACUUAUUUAUAUCCUUUUUAUUUCAAACUUUGUUAUAUAUAUACAUACAUACAUAUAUUAUUUUUUAUAUUUUUAUAAUCUUAUUUAUUUUCAUUAUUGUUAUUAUUGUUUUACUUGAUAUUUAUUUAUUUAUGUGUCCAUUAUUAUUUUAAGAAACAUUUUAGUUCUGUUUGUUUAUUUACUUGUUAUUUUAUGUAUAAUUGAUUUGUCCCCUUUUUUUAUUUAUUUAUCUUAUUUUCGUUGUUGUUGCUCGUAUUAUUUAUGCUUACAUCAUUGUAUUUAUUAUUGUUUUGUUACGCAUAUUAACCCCGUGUUUUAUUUCUACCAUUUCGUGUUAGAUUAAUCUCAUUUGAUGCAUAAAUCAUGACUUUAAAACAAGUAAAACUAGAUAUUUUGAGAUCCGAAAAGGUCGUGCCCUAACUUACGGGGCUUUGAUUUUCUCGAUAAAUUCAAAUACACGAAUCUUUUCAAACAUAAGUUUUUUAAGUGAUCUCGGGAAUUAAUAAAAGAUCGGGUUCUAACUUACGGGACUUGAUUUCUUUUCCAAACCCGAGAUAAUCAAAUCGAAUAUCCUUCAAAUAAAUAAAGCUUUUGGCAUUUAUUCUCGAAUCAAGUAUUUAAAUAUAUUGUGUCCUAACUUACGGGAUAUAAUUCUCUUUCUCGAUUAACGCGAAAUAUGCCCUUUUCUUGAAAACUUUCAGCAUUUUAACAAAGGAUUGUAUUUUGAAUCUUUUCAAAGUUUCCAAUUCUCGACACUAAGACACUAAUUAAUCAACCAGGUACCAAUUUCUAGGCGUUAUGAGGGUGCUAACCCUUCCUCGUAUGUAACCGACUCCCGAACCCAUCUUUCUGAAUUUCGUAGACCAAAAGCGUUGUUUUAAUAAAUCGAACCGUUUUGUUAAAAAUAACCAUUUUUUGAGUUGACCUGAUCACACCUCCUCAAAAAAGGAUUGGUGGCGACUCCCAUAUUCAUUUUCGUUUUAAAAAUCCAAGUCGACCUCUUUUAUCAAAAAAUGGUUUCGACAUAGUUGUUAAGGCUUUUGCCUCUUUCUUUUAUUAAAAAAAAAAGCUGGGCACGAUGAAUCGACCUUAGCUAGUAAAAAACUUCAAUCACCGAAUUGCAUAAAAUUCUAACUUAAAUUCAAAUGCAGAAGCAGGAUCGUUUAUCAAUCCACAAUAUCAACAAAUCUCAAUUCAAACACAAAAUUAACCGGUGAAAAAAAAUAGUUCAACCCAUAAACAUUUACCACAAAGGGAAAUUUGAAACACUUACCACCAUUCCCCUAUCAGAAAGUCUUACCCACAUUCAACAACUAGAAAUCAGAGCUCACCAAAAUGUUUAUGACGAAGCCAUUUUUUUGAAAAGGGUCGACUUUUUAUUUAAAAACGAAAAAGGGAGUCACCACUAAUCAUUUUUAUGAGGUGUGAUCGGGUCACCUCGUAACGGUUUAAUUGAUUAAAAUAAAAAUUUUGGUCUACAAAAUUUAGAAAAAUGGGUUCAGGAGUUGGUUACGUACGAGGAAGGAUUAGCACCCUCGUAACGCCCAAAAUUGGUACCUAAUUGAUUAAUUAAUGUCUUAAUGUUGAAAAUUAAAAACUUGAAAAGAAUUUAAAAUACGAUCCCUCUUUAUUAAUGUUAUUUUUUAGUUAAAAUUUCUUGGAUAAAUCAAAAUGUGUGCUUAAGACUUUCUCGUCCCAAAGUAGCAAAAAUAUUAUGUCCCGUAAGUUAGGACACAACACUUUGAACUUUGGAGAAUGAACUUGCCUUUAUUUUUUAUUUUAAAUCUUAUUAUUUUGAUUUUAAAAGGAUAUUCGGUUAUUUGAGUUCAACGAGAGAAUCGAAACCCCGUAAGUUAGGUACGAUUUCCUGAAUCUCCAAAAUAUGAAUUAUUGCCUAUUCUUUUGAAAAUUUUCCAUUUUUAUGAAAUUGGAUGAAAAUUAAUGAUAUUUAAAAUGAUAUGCAAUAUAAAAUAAAAUAUUAUAAUAACCAUGACGUAAUUACAAAGAUGAAUGCAAUAUUGUUUGGUGGAAAAUGUUUUCCGAAAAAUAUUUUCUGAAUUUUCCAGCGUUUGUUUGGUGGAAAAUGAAUUCCUAAAGUAAAACAUUUUCCAAACACGGGUAAAAUUAGUCCCCAAUUUUUGGAAAACGUCUUACUAAUUUGGAAUCAGUAAGAAAUUUUCCCGUUCUCCCUUCUCUACACUCUCGUUCUCCCUGCCUCUCUAAACCAAUCUUAGGGCUCAUUGAGCUGGUUCCGGGCUAUUUUUCCCCCUUGAUUUCUUCUCCUUUUUAUAAAUUAAUUUGGGGCUUUUCAUCACUGUGUGUUGUUUUUGUCUGGGAUCUCUUGCAUGGGUUUUCUGCUAGUUUGGGUUCUCUGUGCUCAGGCUUUCUACAAAUUCUGCUCUUCCUCUCUUGCUUGGGUCGGGUUUUUGUUACCGUUUUGUAGCCUGUGGCGUUUGGCUUGUCUUGGGCAAACUUUCUUCGCUGACUUUCUUUAGAAAGGUAUAUUUUCUAUUUUCACUUCCAUUUUCUACUUAUUUUUUAGACGCAAAAUUUCUUAGCAAUUCUUUUAUCUUGAACAAACAAUGUUUUGAGGUUUUGGGUCGUUUCAUAAAGUAGAAAAGGAAUCGAACUGUUAAUAUUCUUAAGAUUGAGAAAUUGAGGACACGUUUGGUUCGCUGUAAUGGAAUAGAGGCGUAAUAGUAAUUCAACUGUUUGGUCGAAUGGAAUGGAAUAGAGCUAUAAUAGUAUUCUUGUGUUUGGUUGAAUGGAAUUAUGUUGUAAUAGCAUAAGGAAAAAAACUAAAAUGAGUAUACCCUUAGCAGAAUUUUUUUAGGUAGAUGAUUAUUAUUAUUCUUAUUAAAUUUUAAUAAGAUUAUUAAUAUAAAUAAUAAAUAAUAUAAUCAUAUUUAACAUAAUUAUUAUUAAAUAUAAUUUAAUAAAAAAUAUAUAAUUUAAUAAAAUUCUUAAUAUAAUUAUUCUUAUAUUAAUUUCCUAAAAUCAUAAUAUAUAAUAAUCACUACACCAAAACAGGUUUUUAGCGGCGUUUGGAUAAAAAACGUCGCUAAAAAUUGAGCAUUAGCUGCGAUUUACGUCAAACGCAGCUAAAGAUCGAGCAUUAGUGGCGCUUCCAAGAAAGCGCCUCAAAAAAUGAGCAUUAGCGGCGUUUAUCCAAAAAACGCCGCAAAAAACGUAAACCCAACGGCAUCGUUUUUGACCUUUCGGGGCUUUAGCGGCGCUUUUUCAAAAGCGCCGCUAAUACUCGGGUCUUUAGCAGUGCUUUUCCCAAAAUGCCGCUAAUGCUCUAGUCUUUAGCGGCGCUUUUUCAGAAGUGCCGCUAAUGCUCGGGUCUUUAGCGGCGCUUUGUCAAAAAUGCCGCCAAAGCUCGGGUCUUUAGCAGCGCUUUUUCAAAAAUGCCGCUAAUGCUCGUGUCUUUAGCGGCGCUUAAUCCCAAAUUGAUCCUCCAUACCAAAAUGAGUGGAAAUGAGUUUAAAAGAUGUCCAAAACAUUAACAUUUAAACAUUUGUUAAGAAAUUUUCUUUUGUUUUCAAUAUAAAUGGCUUAAAAAAUGAAAAAAAAGUCUUAAACUUUGUUUGAUUAAAAAUUUUCGUAUAUAAAAAGGAACAUAUUUAAAUUUAUGUGGAUGGUUUUUAUUUAGUUUCAUUAAUAUAGGGAGAUUAAAGAUUGGUGGAGAUUUUACCUAACAAAUUAUUAUAGAAAGAGAGAAGAUGGAUUUAACACCUUUUGAGAAUCCAUUCCCCAAUGAGUUGUAUGGUGUAUCAAUUACGCAUGUAUGAAUAUAUUUUCCUUCCACCAUGUGCUGCCACGAAACUUAGGGCCAAUAUUGUGGAUUCCCGGAGAAUUAGAAGAUAAAAGAAAACCUAUAGGAGAUUCUUGUAAGAGUUACUGGUUUAAGAUUGGUUUUGGAUUUUGUAGGAAAGAUAUGCUGCAUCAAUUACACAUGGGGAUUUAAUACAAGUUGGAUCAUUUUCCUCAUCAGCUAACAUUUUCUUAUGCUAGUUUAGAUCCAAAUCCACACACCCAAUUUUGAUUUGCGCUUCCAUCAAACUAAUUCUUUUUACUGUGAAAAACAUAUUAUUUCAGUAAUAAAUGUUGAAUCAACAUUAUUUUAAUAAUAAAUUAUUUUAUUCCUUUUACUAUAGUAUUUUUUUCCCAUCAUGUUGAUUUAGGUAUAGUUUGGAUAGACAUUGCGUUUACUUGUGUUUAGUAUAAAAACAACAGUGACGAUAAAAUUAGAUAAAAGUGAACUAAUCGCACCGCACUGGCCAUCCAAAUCCAAGUACCAUACUCUUCUUUUAGUUUUUUUUAAACCCUAAAUAAGAAAGACAACCUCAUUUAGCGAAGUCAUUAACCCCUUUCUUAAAUUUCCAUAAUAAAACUCAUACCCUAUUCAAAAACCCUAUUUUAACAAAAUUCAACUAUCUUUGAAUUAUUCGUAACCCUAUAUUUAUAAUACAGACGUGGUGAUCAGUUAGACCUUUAAUUACUUAACAUACUUUUUUUUUAUUGACUAACAUCUCUUGUUUUUAUUGACUCCUUUAAUUUUAAUUUAAUAAUUUUAUAAUUUAAUCUAAAGAGGUCAAAUUCGAAUUAUUUUUUUGAUAUAAUUUUUAAUUUAACAAGAGCUGAAUCAUACUUUAUAGGAUUUGAACCUUGGACGAUAGGUUUGAAGACCCACAUGCUACCGAACUAAACUAAUAUCACUUUCUUAUCAUAAUAAAUAAAAUUGUAAAAAAAAUCCUUUUAUUUUAUAACCCUAAUACAAUACAUUGUAUGUCGUAUAUAUAUAAUAUGAGAAAAUGAUAGAUUGAGCAAAAUUGCAUCAUAGGUUGUGUUCAAAAUUCAAAUUCUUUUUGGUUUAGAGGGUUUUAUGUUUGGUUAGUGAUAAGUUUUUUUUCUUUCGCAUGUGAUUUAUCUUUUCGAUAUGUAGGGUGAAGGAUUUAAAUUGUGGAAUGUUUGGUUUAUAUAAGCAGCUUAAGGUAAGAAAAGAAAAGCAAGAUAAAAUUUGAAAGAUGAUCCCAUUGUUGACUGAUUCAUUUACUGCGAGCUUCUCCCUCAUAUUGUAGCGACACUGAUGUACAAAAUAUUUCAAAGAUGUACAAAUUUUUCGAGUUUAAAAACUACAUUGAGUGUAUUUUCGUAGGAGUUCAGUUGAUUUAAAAACUACAUUAAAUGGUUUAGGAUUUAAGGUUUACUUCAGAUUUGUUAAAUGAUGAAAUUUUAUACAAUAAAUUAAUACUUUUAUAUUUAAAAAUAUUUAAUCUAAAAUAUUCGAUAUAUUUAAAUAUUAGAUUUAAAAAAAUUGAUAAAUAAAUAAAGUCACUUAACUAAUAAUUUUUGGUAGAUAAAAUAAAAAAUUUUUAACAGAGCAAAACGACGUUAUUUUAUCAAUAGAUAAGCAAUAAUGGCGUUUUUUGUAAAAACGCCACAAAAUUUAUUUUACUUAGAAAAAAAUUUGGCGCUGAUUUUUCCCAAAUUUUCCCCCUAAAACCCCUAACUUUGCAAACAAAAUGAAAAAAAGAAGAGGAAAAUGAAGGUACCAAAGACGAUUCAGCACAAAACCUCUCCAAUCUACUUACGAGUUCUACCGUUUGUUUCCCUGGAAAAUAUAUGAGACUUAAUAUUUUCUGUUCCAUUUUUCCUCUUUAUUUUCUAAUUUUGGGUAUUAUUUACUCAGAUCCCCUUUCUUUUUAUUAUUGUUUUUUUUUUCUCUUAUAUUUUAGCUAGAAAUCGACGAUGCAAGUUACUGCUGGUAACAAGUUAUUGCUUAAAAUUCAUCGUAACAAAUCUACUUCAAAGGAAGUUAUUCAUAUUCCUUCGUAUCGAAGCGAAGUUAUUUACGGUGGAACUUGGUUCUCCAGCUCUCGUAAGUUUGUUCCCAGUUUUGUAUUUGCCAUCUAUACCAGGUUUACCUCUCUUACUUCUCUUCGUCUUCAUCUCCCUUUCAUUUAUUCUACCAAAAACGCCUCUUACUUGUCAUUUUUUUCUCACAUAUCGUGCAAGACUCAUUUUUCUUUCUUUAUGCUCUAGUCUUAACAGUGCACUUCAACUGUUCAAUAUAAUGCUUCUUUAUACAAUUUGUUUCUGGUUUUCAGGGGGUGUUGUUUGUAAGAUGUUGAAGCAAGCGAUAUGGAAGGUGUUGAGCAAAAGGGUAGUUUCAGAUUCUGGUGAUAAACUUCUUUUGCCUUGUUUGUACUUGCCCACGACUUCUUUUCACGCUGGACAGGUAGGUACUCUUUUUUUUUCUUUUAACUCUUACUUUAGUUUUUUUUAUGGAUACCCAAUUGUUAAUUUAUUAAAUAAUAAAUCUUUAAUAAUAAACCUAAAUUUAUGGCAUUUGAAUUAUUUGUAGAAUUUGAAUCAUAAAAACAUUGUCAAGUAUCUUGGAUCAUUGAAGACAACAAGAAGUUAGGUUUUGUAGUCUCUGUCUGGAAUUCUUGCUCUGAAGUUUGUCUAUUUUAUACGAGUUGAGUUUUCAUGGUUUGCUGUUGCAUUGUUUCUUCUGUUCUUUGUUUUGUUAUUGGAACUAUUUCCAAUUGUCUGGUUUACUUGAAAUCCGAUAUUUGAUUAAAGGGACCAAGUAGAGAGCACAAGUGAGAGCGAAGGCAGUGCAAGUGAUGAAGUGCUUGUUGUUCCUUAUGAUAACUUAGCACCUAUUUCUUGUGGUAAUAUUUUCUCAUUAUUCUUCUACUUUUGAAUUUAUUGUAUUCCAAAUAUAGCAUCAAGAAAAAUAUAAUAGUACAUUAGAGUUCAGCUUGUAUAAUUUGUUUGGAUUCUUUCUGUCUUGAAGCAGAUAUUACUGAAUCUAAGCAGCUUUUAGAUAAGCUUGUUGUGGUGAAGUAUAAUAGAGCUUUGGGAAAGAAUAUGGGUUUCGUUGGUCCCAAGUAAGCAAUUAUCUAACUUCUGGAAGUUUGAUACUUAUUUUUUUCCAAGAAAAGAGAAGCAUUUCUUGAUGAUUCCAUAGUUAUAUAUUAAAGACUUGCCUCUACAUAAAUGAAUAUAGUUUCUAUGACAUACAUAUAUUUAUGUAUGCUUUUUAUAUAUGCCUCUACAUUCAUAUAUUUAUAUAUGCUUUUUAUAUUGUAUUGUGCCAAAUAAAGAGAAUAAAAGUUUUAAUUAUUGAUAGAUUCUGCUACUUUUUUUAUGUACUUUUUAUUAAAUCACUCUUUAAUCAAAUGUAGAAUUAUAAAAUUAUUAAAUUUUACUAUAAAUAAUUAUCCUUAUAUAAUUAAUUAUUUUAGUAAAUUUUCCAACUAUCAAAACAGAUCACUCCACCAUCCCACGUCAAAAUUUUGUUAAGGGUAGGAGUUGAGAGAGGUAGAUACUUUGAUGAAUAUUUUCUUUUACAUGAUAAUUAUAUACUUCUUUAAGUUUGUUUUGGAUGUUGGGACAAUGUCAGUUGAUGCCGAAAUUUGAUAGUGCUGCAAAUUGAAGUGUUUAAGUGCUGCAAAUUGAAGUAUUUAGUUGCUGCAAAUUGAGAUGUUUUAUCGCUGUAAUUGAGGUGUAUAAAUGUUGUUAAUUGAUAUGUUUAAGUGCUGCAAAUUGAAGUGUUUAAAUGCUGUAAAUUGAAGUGUUUAAGUGCUGCAAAUUGAAGUGUUUAGUUGCUGGAAAUUGAGAUGUUUUAUUGCUGUAAUUGAGGUGUAUAAAUGUUGUUAAUUGAUAUGUUUAAGUGCUGCAAAUUUAAGUGUUUAAAUGCUGUAAAUUGAAGUGUUUAAGUGCUGCAAAUUGAAGUGUUUAAAUGCUGUAAAUUGAAGUCUUUAAGUGCUGCAAAUUGAAGUAUUUAGUUGCUGGAAAUUGAGAUGUUUUAUCGCUGUAAUUGAGGUGUAUAAAUGUUGUUAAUUGAUAUGUUUAAGUGCUGCAAAUUGAAGUGUUUAAGUGCUGCAAAUUGAAGUGUUUAGUUGCUGCAAAUUGAGAUGUUUAACGCUGUAAAUUGAAGUGUUAAAGUGCUACUUUCCAUUGUCACCUCCCCCAUUUCUUUAUGCAUCAAUAACUAUAUUAAUGAAAUCAAGUACUACAAUUAUAUACUAUUGCAGAUGGGGGUUGGAGAAUAUGAUCAAGGGGAAAACAUCAGAUAUGGUGAUUCCUAGCCAAGCAGUGGCUUCUUAGACACCCAACAUUUUGCACAACCAAACAUGACCACAACUUUUAAACCUACAUGUUGAGGUUGCUACACACAAGUCCCUUCCUUUUUUUAGUUUAUGUGCUAUGUGAUGAUUGUGUUUUAAAAUUUAACUUGUUUUAGUUCCUUACAUUCUUAUACGAUUCACACUCAAGGAGCUAGAUUUGGAGCUUAAACUGUCACUGUAAUCAGUAAUUUUUUUUUUGCUUCUUUAAAUGCAUGCUCAUGGAACUACAUCUUAUGCUUUCCUAGAAUUGUAAGUUCAAAUAAGGUGUUGAUCUGCAAUUUAUACAUACAACUUGAGCAAGUUGAUAUGAACUAGUUUCAAUUUUUUUUUUUAAAUGAAAGGAAUGUUAUGUAAUCAAAGGCAAUUUGACUUGUUGCAUGAGAUAUAGUGAAAAACAUUUAUCUUCUUAUUCAUGAAUUUCCAUUUUAAUACGUCUUCAAAUUAAAUUAUACAUUUUUUAAUUGGUAGAAUCUCACUUUUGCUGUUGCUGCAAUCUUUAACCAAAGAAUGGAGUGAUGUAUGUACUGAUAACAGUUCUAAAGGAUUUGUUUAAGCAAGUAAAGAGAUUGGCGUUUUUAUAAUAAUUUAGGAUAGGAAUGGAGCAAAUCCAAAGAAUGGAGUGGCAUUUUUAUAAUAAAUUUUUUUAUUUUUCGUGACCUUUACUAGCGUUUUUGGAGAAAGCGCCGCUAAAGGUCUUGUUUUUUAGCGGCAUUUUUGGGAAAAGUGCCGCUAAAGGUCUUAGUCUUUAGCGGUGUUUGUGGUAAAAGCGCCACUAAAGGUCUUGGUCUUUAGUAGUUUUUGUGGGAAAAGUGUCGCUAAAGGUCCUGGUUUUUAGCGGCGUUUGUGGGAAAAGCGUCGCUAAAGGUCUUGGUCUUUAGUGGCGUUUGGGGGAAAAGCGCUGCUAAAGGUCUUAGUCUUUAGCGGUGUUUGUGGGAAAAGCGCCGCUAAAGGUCUUGGUCUUUAGCGGCGUUUGGGGGAAAGCACCGCUAAAGGUCCUGGUUUUGAGCGGCGUUUGUGGGAGAAGUGCCGCUAAAGGUCAUGGUCUUUAGCUGCGUUUUUUCCGGCUAAAAAAGUGCCGCUAAAAGCCUGUUUUGGUGUAGUGAAUAUAAAAAUAAUAUAUAAUCUCAUUUAUUAUUUUUAAAUCGCAAUACAUAUUUAAUGUGCUAAAAUAUCAUUAGUGAAUCAAAUAAUUUAAUUAUUCUACAAAAAAAUAGAAGUAAUAAAUAACUUGAAAAUUAUAUUUUGCAUAAAUAUAAUAUUCAAAUAUUAACAAACAUACCCUAAAUCAAAUUUCAUGUAUAAUUUUAAAAUUUACCCCAAAGAUUUAGUGUACUUCUUGACCUGAACUUGACAAUUAAGUUUAUUUUAGUACUUGUAUAUUUUUUGUCCACUUUAAUAAUUGAACUUGACAAUUAGAUAUAUUUUAAUCUUUGAACUUGAAAUAUAUAAAAUUUUAUUGACAUAACACUUUAAGAUUGUCUCACAUCAUUAAAUUUGGACGGAAUAUAAAUUCAUAGUCAAAAUAGACCUACUUGUAAAGUUAGAUACUAAAGUAGACCCCAACAACAUAUAUAAGUAUCAAAAUGAAACUAGCUUACAAAGCAAAACUUCGUAUAAAAGAAGAUAAACAAAUUGUGCUACUUGAAGGGAACAACACUGGCACUGGAAAAACAUUCCGUGUUUGAGGACAUAAAAUCUCUUAAGCACUGCGUCCAGGUUAUGAGCUACUCACAGCAACACAGAUCGCUGGGAAAUAGUGUGCCAAAUUACCUUUUGUAUCUCUUCUUGGAACCACAUGGACAGGGAGCAUUACGGCUCAUUUCUCCACUCUUUACCAUAUUAAACUUGGUAAGAUCCAAUGGUGUUAAACCCGUUAGCUUUUGCACCUGCAAAAGAUAAAAAAAAACUAAUGACAUUUCCAAUGGAGAAAGAGAGAGAUGCAUAAACUAAUACUUGUCAUUGAUGUUUUAAACUGUGGGAGAAACAUUCAUCCGAACUCAAAUGCGAAUUUCAGCAACUGAAGAUGAAUGAAGGCAGACAUCUCAGUCUUUUAAGCAAUCUGGCAUUGAACCAAAAAAGCAUAACGCAGAUCAGCAGACCAAACAUCUGUAACUCUAUGUUAGUUCGACUCUUUCUUUUCCUUUAUGCAUCCAUGUUUGAUGCAAGUCUGGGACCAGAAUGAAUAUAGGGAGAUAAUCCUUUAAAAAUCCUCCAAAUACAUUAAAAAACUUGGACAAAAAAUGAACACAACACACCCGUGUCAAACAUAUAUAUCAGACACUCAAACUAUAGUCUGAACAACAAGAUAUACAAUCAUCAUUUUGACUCAGAUAAUAUGCAUAACUAACUCCCCUACCUUCUUAGACAAAUAUCUUACUUAUCUUUCAAAUAGCUCAUCCUACAUUCAACAUCAUAUUCACCGAGCAGCAGCCAAAAGACAAAAAUACAUUAACUUAGAGAAUUUAAGAUCAGACAAAUUGAGCAAUAGGCAUAAAGACACUAGCUCAUACGUUUUAAUCAUUCAACAUAUUAUCAGCAAAAACAUAACUGAAAAAAACCAGUGGUGAACCUACCACAGCAAAGUUCUUUGGCAUCGGUUUGCCUUCCUCUUUCAGCUUAACCAUCUUCUUAUGAACUUCUUUAGCCCAUGUGAACUUCGCAAGCGCAUUCUCAACAUAUAAUAAGGUACAAUCACACUGUUUUGCAGCUUCUUUCUUUUGACUCAGUUGGAGAUUCUAAAAAAAAAGUCAAAAUCUAAAUCCACAAUCAGCGAAUUCACCUACAGGGCUCCAACCAUGUUUUAUAGUUUGGACGAGAAAAGGCAGCACCUUCUUACAUGCAAUGUCAGUGGUCAACAGGACUGGAAUGCUCGCCUGUUUAUCAUGGUGGAAAUCAAAUUCUUAUAUAAAACAUAGUUAACAUUUCUCAGCAUAAAGCCUUCAUCUUUUGUGCAAACAAAUUUUAAAUUAACAGAACUCAACUAGUCGAAAUCACAAGCCAUUCAAAAAACAAUAGAAUCAGACAAACAUGUAAUAGAAUAAAAAUUUUCAUCUGUUCAAUCUGUUCAAUCGAACAAACAUUGAAAACAUUGAAAGAAUUUUCAUCUGUUCAAUCGAACAUGCAAUACAAAGAAAAGCUGAAUGGAAAACGCUAGAAACGAAUCAAAAUUAGGAGAACAAAAACAAAUAUUCCAGAUUUGAGCAAAAGCAAAACUAAAUCGAUUUUACAGAAAAGAGAAGAAAAGAAAAACAGGGAAAGAGUGUGAGAAUUUUUCGUUGUUGAUAAAAUGGAGAAAAGAAAAAAAACGAGAGAAGAAAAGAAAUGUACGAGAAUAAAAGAAGCAGAAAUCGAUGGAAGGGAAAAAAUUACCUUGCAAAACGUCGGAGAGGAUGAGCGCAGAAAACGAAAAAGAUGGUAACAAAUUGGGAGGGAAUCCCUAUUCCGCGCUUAAACAUCAGAAUGGCUAUUACAGCCAACGUGGGUAAUAGAUGCGGAACGGAACCAAACAUCCGUUUGGUGGUGGGCCUAGGGAAUUGGGGGGAAUGCAUACCGAUUCCCCCCAACCAAACAUACCUUGAGUUUGUUCUCUUAAGAGGAAAUGGUAAUGAGGUGUAAAAGCCAAGAGGAAAUGAUUAUCUUUACCGCUAGAAAUGAACAAGGUAUGUUAUUCAUAUUUUUCUCCGGAUGCAGGUUUUAAUUGGGCAAUAGUUUUACUUUUGUUAUAGCUAGAGGUUUUACUUGUCAUGCAUCUUACUGCAUUUGGUUAGUUUUAUGUUUUAUUGUUUUAUCUUUCUGGCAUUUUAUAUUUAGUUCUCCUAUUUUUUUAGACAAUUUCUGCAACAUUGGUUUCCUAUGACGUGAUAGUAUUUUUUUGUUGUAGUAGUGAUAACAUUUGUGGUUGGCAAGAUUCCUUUAACACGGUUUAUCUGGAAAGGUCUAUCUUUGGGUUGCUGAUAGUGUCACCGAGUGAAAUAAAUGCUAGUUGUGGCUCUUAUGAUUACAAACUAUUAGCUUAUUGGUAAAUUGAAUGUUCAGAUGUCAUGACUGAUGUAAAUUCACAUACUUUUAAACAUUGUGCAUCUUCUAAUUUUAUGAAUUUUAACAACAAAAAGUUUUCUAUACAUAAUGAUUAUUUGAUUACUGUAUGUUUGAUCUUGGAUUUCUGUUGCUAAACAUGAAUUGGAAUAAAAUGAAUGCUAGUUGUUCAUUUGAAUAACAAGAAUGAAAUAAAUGCUAGUCAAGGCCUCUAAAAGACUAAUUUAGUAAUUUGGCUGAAUUGAACCCUUAUAUCAUUAGGGAAUAUAACAGAAGAACUACUAAUAGUUUGAAUAGAACAUAAUGAACUGAUUAAUAAUACAUUUAAGAGGUAUGUUAGUAGCUGCUAGUCUCUAGUUCCUUGAGAGUUUGGUUGUUCAGAGUGUCGUCUAGGAUUGUAUUCUGUGCUGUCCAUGCAAGUGUAAUAAGAUUGACUAAGGUCUUUUCCCUUUGAAAUUGUUGAUCACUCAAUUAAGCUCAGUUGACCGGCUAUCAUGUCCUUGCUCAAUUAAGCUCUGCCAUAACUGCACGAAAGAACAACAAUUCCAUACACUCAUUACAAAGAAUACAAGUAGUGGAGUUCACGGACUAGACAAUUAAAGAGAACUUUACACAUGUAACCAAAUUCACCAAUAUGAGCAUUGAUAUCUCAUUUUUAUGAGAUCUUAUUAGAUUAUUGAUUAUGAAUAUGUUUACUCGAUCAUUUCAAGAUCAUGGUUUCAUUACAUGGAGUUGUUUGAUGGUGAAGGCAAUAAUACAUUUUUAAGAUUACUGCAGCCAAAAGAGUUGUUGCAAAGGAGACCAAAGUCCAGAACUCUUUUUCUUUUGUGCUUCCACAACUGAGUUCUCCAUUACCUCAACUUUCAGCUUCAAAUCUUGAGCUACUUGUCUCUUUCUGUCAUUGAUUGUUACUUUUAUGUGGUCUAAUAUUAGUUAUGCACUUGGACAAUGUUGUUGUUAUUAUGUGGUGUACUACUAAUUAUGCAUUUGGAUAAUAUUAUUAAUUUCUAGUAUUAAUUGUGGUUUGGAAGCUAAUUUAUAAUUAUUCAAUCCUUAUUUUUUAUUUUUUAACACAAUUAUAAAUAAUUUAUUUGACUUUGGUUGUUUUCAAUUUAUGACGGUUAAUAUUGUAGCUUAAUAAUUGAGUAUUUUGAUUUAUUUAUUUAUAAAUAAAUCAUUUCAAUAUAUGUAAAAAUAAUUUAAAAUAUAAAAAUUUAUUAAUAUGUAUAUAAAUUUAUUAAUAUAUGUAAAAACAACUUUUUCGGAAAAUAUUUUCAGGAAAUCUACCAAACAACAAAAAAUAUUUUACACAGAUUCAUCCAAACACUAGAAAAUAUUUUCAGUAAAUCAUUUUCCAGAAAAGUAAAUCAUUUUCAGGAAAUCAUUUUUCGAAAAACAUUUUACUGGCAAACAAACGAACCCUUAUUGCUCAUGGUCAUCAACCUAUAAACCCAAGAGCAUUAUUAGCUUCUAAAUCCAAAACACUAAUAUCAGCAUCCAACCCAACAAUGAUAGUCUUAUUGACUCAUUUAAACAAGUUUCCUUUGUCAAUCUAUAUUCUGUAUUUGGUAAUCUCCAAUAUGAUUUCAGAACAUACGAUAGUUGGAAGAAGAAUAGCAGCAAAGAUGCAAAGGGAAAUGACUUAUACGAGGAGGAAGAACCAUCUUUUGGGUGCAAACCUGUAUACCAUAUAAUAGGAUGUCCUGUAUAAUGUCACGAGAGCUAGUACCGUUGCCAAGCAGUAAUUACUAAUGCUAAUAUGAUGAACAGAAAAGGAUCCAGCCGUAAGAUAGUAUGGAUACUGAAAUGCGAGUGUCCGUAUGGAAACAGCAACUAAAAGCAUGUAACAGGUCCCAAAACAGGUCCCAAACAAGGAAAGUGUUAUGAGAAUCACUACACCAAAAUAGGCUUUUAGCGGCGCUUUUUUAGGCCUUUAGCAGCGCUUUUUAGCGCCACUAGCGCCGCUAAAAACGCCGCUAAUGACAGUGUCGCUAACUUUAGCGGCGCUUUUUCCACAAACGCCACUAAAGACCAAGACCUUUAGCGGCGCUUUUACCACAAACAUCACUAAAGACCAAGACCUUUAGCGACGCUUUUCCCACAAACGCCGCUAAAAACCAUGACCUUUAGUGGCACUUUUACCACAAACGCCGCUAAAGACCAUAGCUUUUAGCGGCGCUUUUCAAACAAACGCCACUAAAAAUAUAUCUUUUAAAAAAAUUAAUUUUUUUCAAAUAAUAUUUAUUUCUAUAAUAAAUAUUAUAUUAUGUUUUAAGGAUAAAUAAAAAAUAUUAUUUAAAUUAAAUUUUCUACAAAAAUUUUAACUUUAAAACUAAAUAUAAAUAUAAAAAUUAAUGAAUUUAAAUUUAGAAUUUAAAAUAAUAAAUUAAUAACACAAUUAAAAUCCAAAAGUUAGAACACUUAAGUAAAAAUAAAAAUUUAGAAUCAAAACUAAAAUAAAUGAUACAUAUGCAAGGUAAUAAAAUAUACAAUGCAUUUUCUUAAUCAAGUAAAUCUUGGUUACAAAACUAACACAGAAAAUAACACAGUAUACAGUAUGUUUUGUCUUUCACAUUUUAAAAAUAAUAAUAAUAGCAUGUUUGUUUGCAUGCUACCAUGAUCAAAACACAAAAAUGAAGUUCUCCACCUAAUACAAAUUUCUCCUACGAAUGUGCAGAAUCAGAUCUCUAGAUUCUCGGAGUUCUUCAUCUGGUGCUGUCUCGAUGGUUUUGAUUAUUGUGUCAUCUAGCUGGAUUCAAAAAAAAGAAUAGAAUGCAAAGCAUGUUAUACAUUUGGACUCCAAAUUUUUAGCAACUCAAAAGAAUGCUAAGAAUGUUGUCCAACCUUCCAGUACUCACAAGGAUCUUGAAUAAAAAUGAAAUCAGACCUCACCACUUCAUAUAAGAAGCCUACACAACUAAUUACACAAAAGAAAAAGAUGAGAAAAAAUAACAAUGUAAAAAAGACGUUUGAAUGAGAUAAUAUAGAACCCAGAGUUAACUCUGUGAAUACCUUCACUUUAGAGUGGGUGUACACAGUUCGAUAAAGAUCAGCACGAGUAGCAAAUAACUUGUGGAUACUAAGAUCUAGCAAGAGCACCCAUUACCAUUAUUAAGGAGUAAAAAAACACUAAAAGAACUAAACAUGUAUUUUGCAAGUAAAUGAAUUAGAUGAUACUAACAGUCUUUAGCACGAUAGCAGAUCUCAUCACCCAAAACUCGCAGUCUCCAUGAACCUGCAGGUGGUGUAGUAUGUAUAUUAAGUUUCACUUACUUAUCCACAUCAAUUCCAUUCUAACCAUUUGCAACAAUAUCAUAUAAGAAUUGCUUCUCCUUUGCACUCUUCAAAGUAAGCACAAAAUAGUGUAUGUGUUAGAUAAAGAAAAGAAACAAAGAAUGUUUGUACUUCAUACUGGAGCAAAAUAUAAAAAAUCCAGUGAUCAACAUGUGCCUACACUUAAAAUAUAAAAAAUCUAGUGAUCUACCGAAAUUAAACUAUUCAUCAAAAUGAUUGCAAUUAACUGAGUUAAAACAUGAUUUUUUUUCUUUUCUUGCAAAUAUCUAAAGUUUUUUAUACCUUCCCAAAUGGUGAAACAAGCUGGUGAAGUGCUGUAAUUCUGUCUCCUAAUUUUUCUUUCCUCACCUGCCAUAUAACAUAUAUAUGUAUAUAUACAAGUCAGAAAAAAAGAAAAAGUAGGUGAUUAAUUUACUAUUUUACUUUCACUUAAACUAUAUUCUCUUUUUCAUACAUUAAUAGAAUAUGAUAGUUACAGCAAAAAAAAAAGAAAAAGAAUCAUCCCUCUAGAAAUCGACAACCAAACAAGGACAACAGUUUUUACCACCCCACAUGUAUUUUGUGUAUGUGUAUAUAUAUAUAUGCUUGUGAGUGUGCGUGUGCGUGUGCGUGUGCGUGCAAUCUGUAUUGAGAUAAAAAAAAACAUAUAUUUAAUUAUAUAAAAAUUAUGAUAAAAGUAUCAUGGAAGUCCCUGUACUAAAAGGUGGAUUACAUUUUGCCCUUUUACUCAAAUGGUUUAAUUUAAACACUCAUUCAACAGCUAUUACCUAAAAUGCUACCACUUUUGAGGUAUAAAAUCAGUGGAAGUCUAAAUGAACAAAGUCCUAAGCCAAUCAAAACAAAGUCACCAAGAAAUGAAAAAACAAUCUGUUCUUAUCCUUUCGAAACAGUGACCAAAUACAAUGAAUUCAAAAGGUUGUCCUUUUCAUAUCUGCUUAUCAACCAAAUACGCAAUGAGAAAAAAAAAUCAUGAUCCGCCAGCAGAAAAGCUUGAAAUUUGAAUGGAUCAAAUGAAACAUAAAUCUAAUGUAAAACACACCUGGAGAAAGCUUAAAAGAAGAGCUUUGAUGAGAUUUUCUGGUGUGAGCUCUGGCUGACGCUGCUGAUAUCUUCCUUCUAACUUCCCCAUUAUCGUCCCUCAAAACCCAAUAAUCUGUAAAACGAAGACUCCCCCAAAUUACUUCAGAUGUCUCUCUUAAAUUCUAUUUAAAAAAAUUAAAAAUCUAUAAAAAAAAUCAGUUACUAUAAAAAAAAGAGAUAAGUGUGAAUUAAAAAUAUAAUCCCAAAUACUGAUUCAAUUGCAGACUGGGAUUUAUUUCUUACCUCAAAGGUACAGCAAUGGUUGUAACCUCUGUAACCUGUUUGUGAAACCUCUGUAACCUGUUUUACUAGUAAAGCCGAUAAUAAUCCAGAAACUGGUUGUAACCUCUUUGUAUUUGCCUGGGAAACCAGAAAUCUUCUCAUUAUCAGCAUAUGUUGAUUUUUUUUAUAAUGUCGCAGGGAGGGAGGGAGGGACAGAAAGCAAGAGAGACGGCGAAGAGUUUUAGGAGGGAAAAUUAGGGGUUUCGGGGAAAUUUGGGGCUAAAAUGGGGGGAGAAUUUUUAAAAGUGAAAUUAGGGUUUUUAGAGGGAAAUUUUGGGAUAAAACGGCGCCAAGUGAAAUUAUUUUUGCGACGUUUUAAAAAAAAAGCCGGGAAUGUACCUUUUGUGGAUUUUUUUUGAAAACGUCACUAACAAAUUUAAAUUCUUUUAUUGAAAUGACGUCGUUUUGAGAAAUAUUAAUACAUAGUAACGGCGUUUUUUGCUAAAAACGCCGCUAAAGCUCUCAUAUUUUUUAUAUUCAAUUAUUGUAUCUUUCAUAUAAAUUAUACAUAAAAGAAUUAUUAAAAUUUUAAGUAAUAUUUAAAAGAAUUAAAUAAUAUUAUAAAUUUAGUUUUCUUAUUUCAUUUUUAUUUUUGUAUUUUUUUCUUAUAAUUUGGUCCUAUCUAAAUUAAAUAAUUACCUAUAUAUCCAUAUCAAAUAUAUCAAAUGGUUUAAAUUAAAUAUUUUUAAAUAUAAAAGCAGUAAUUAAUUGUAUAAAAUUGUAUCAUUUAACAAAUCUCAAAUAAACCUUAAACCCUAAAUUAACCAUUCAAUAUACAUAAAGUCUAUCUAUUAUAUAUCUCUUACAUAAUAUAAACUAUACUCAUAAUUUCAAUAUAUUAAAUUUAUUAUUAUCUCUUUUACAAUUAUAUAAGAACAUAUUUAAUAUAUAAAUUAAAAAAUCAAUUAAUCUAAACCCUAAACCUUAACCCGACCCUUGAAACCCUAAAUCCCUAACUCCUAACCCCUAACUCUUAACCCCUAAACCUUAAAUCCCAACCCUUAAACCAUAAUCCCUAAAUCUAUAUAUAAUCCCCGAACCUUAAAAUAGUAACUCCUAAACUGGCUUUAAAUAUUAAAUUAACCAUAUACCGUAAACCAUAUAAACCCUAAACUAUAAUGAUAAUUAAUUAAAUAUUUUAAAAUUAAUACUAUCUUAUCUUUUUCAAUUAUAUAUGAAAUUAUUUAAUAUAUAAAUUAAAAAACAUCAAUAAAAUAUAAAUUAAAAUGCUUUUUUUUGGAUAAUUUAAUGAAUAUGGCAGGAUUAACUCUAAACCCCUAACCCCUAAAUUCUAAACUUAGCCCUAAACCUUAAACCCCAACCCUUAAACCAUAAACCAUAAACAAUAAUCCCUAAACUAUAAUGAUAAUUAAUUCAAUAUUUUAAAAUUAAUACUAUCUCUUUUACGAUUAUAUAAGAUAUUUUUAAUAUAUAAAUAUCAAACACGUCAUAGACACUUAAAACUUUGAGAUAGUUAUACUAUUUUUUAUUUCACUUAUAGGAACCUCAUACACUCAAGCACUGCAAGUCUUUUGUGAAUUAACCAAUGGUUAUGAAGAUCUACUACUUACGGUUAUCAAUGCCAGCUGGAAUCACAAAUAUUAACAAGAAUCAGACAUAGAUAGCAAAAUUAAUCAAGCACUUUCAAGGGACAUUCUAGCAGUUCUUUAAAGAAAUGGAUUUCAAUCCAAAAUUCAACAGUUCUGUAACUAGCCUAGCAGACAGAUGGAAAAAUAAUAUUUAUUUUAGAGAUCAGUCUACCUCUUAAGUGGAAUAACUUUCUAUAAACUUUAACCUUGUGAACUUUUUUAUUAAUAUAUUUCUUCUAAUACUUCUUAGAGAUAAUCACAGUCAAGAGAUUCAACCAUUAAGAUUCAAUGGAUGGUUAAUAUAAGACCAAACAAAGACAAUGCAUCUAAUUUAAUAAGCUCAGCAGUGCUCACGAAUAAAGCAAAACAGUGUAUAAGAAAUUAUUUAGUAUGUAAAUUAAAAAACACUCAGUAAUGUACCCAAAAAACUUAAAAACUAUUUUAAAUAAUAGUAUUUUAAAUCAUGUACCCAAAAAACUUAAAAAUAUUUUUUGCGGCGCUUUUUAAAAAACGCCGCUAAAAAUAGAGCAUUAGCGGCGCUUUAUCAAAAACGCCGCUAAAGACCAGAGCAUUAGCGGCGCUUCUUCAAAAAUGCCGCUAAAGACCCGAGCAUUAGCGGCGCUUCUCCAAAAACGCCGCUAAAGACCCGAGCAUUAGUGGCGCUUAUUCAAAAACGCCGCUAAAGACUCGAGCAUUAGCGACACUUCUUCAAAAACGCCGCUAAAGACCCGAGCAUUAGCGGCACUUCUUCAAAAAUGCCGCUAAAGACCCGAGCAUUAGCAGCGCUUUUCGAAAAAUGCCGCUAAAGCCCUGAAAAAUCAAAAAACGAUGUCGUUGUGCUUGGGUUUUUUGCGACGCUUUUUGAAAAAUGCCACUAAUGUUCAUUUUUAGCGGCGUUUUCCAAAAAACGCCGCUAAUACUGGAUCUUUAGCGGCGUUUUUCCUAAAGCGCCGCUAAUGCUUGAUUUUUAGCGGCGUUUUUUGUUCAAACGCCACUAAAAACGCCGCUAAAAGCCUAUUUUGGUGUAGUGAAUAAACAAGUAGAUUGAACGGCUGGGUAGGAGAUAGGCUGUUAAAACAGUUGUUGCCCAAAAGGUUAAAGUGUUGUAUAACCAAAACAUUGUGCACACGUUUAGUAUAGGUUCUAUUUUUUUUUCUUCAGCGGGUGGAGGACUUGGUACGGGUCCAGUGCUGGUUAAACCUAAAGAUGCGUCAUACUUGAGUUGGAAAUUCUGGGAAUUUGAAAUGGUACCAGGCUGCUUUGGAGGGUUCAAAGUGGCAGUGUAUGUGGCUGUUAUAAUUAGCACUGUGACUACUAAAAAUGUGUUACGCAUCUCAUGUGGGAUUCCCUUUGUUGACACCAUUUUUUUUAUAAAACAAGGUCGACUUGGGUUUUAAAAAUGAAAACAAACACGAGAGUCGCCACCAAUCCUUUUUGAUAAGGUGUGAUCGGGCCACCUUAAAAGUGGUUAUUUUUAAUAAACAAUUUAAUUUUAUUAAAACAACGAUUUCGGUCCACGAAAUUCAAAAAAUCGGUUCAGGAGUCGUUUACGUACGAGGAAUGAUUAGCACUCUCGUAACGCCCAAAAUUGGUACCUAGUUGAUUAAUUAACGUCUUAAUGUUGAAGGUCGAAAGAUUUUAAAAUACGAUCCUUAUAUUAAAAACUUGGAUAAAUCAAAUUAGCCGUUAGGACCCUCUCAUUUCAGAGAGAGAAAAUAUUAUACCCAAUGAGUUAGGGCAUGAUAUUUCACCUCUUCAAAAAUGUGCUUGUCUAAACAACUCGUACAGUAAAAUUUAAAAGGAUAUUCAAUUGUUUAAGUCAGGUGAAAAAAUUGUAGCCCAAUACGUUAGGGCACAAUUUCUCAAAAUUCUAAACAUUGAAUAUUGCCUUUAUUUAUUUUUUAGAAAAAUUCACGUCUCGAGAAAACAACGUGUCAUAUCCAAUGCGUUAGGAUUCAACGUAUUGAAUUCCCGAUAAUGAGUUUUUAUUUAUGUUUUUGAUUAAAGAGCAUUCUCGAUUAUUUAGAUUCAACGAAGAAAAUUAGAACCCAAUACGUUAGGGCUCAAUCCUCUCGAAAAUCCCAGAUAUUGAGUAUUGCUAUUAUUUUAGAAAUUUUCCUUUUUUCCAAAUCUGAGUAAAAAUUGAUGUAAUGGAAUAACAAUUAUGAUAAUAUAAGUAAAAAUAAUAAGAGCAAAAACAAAAAGAUAAAUAAAUAAGAAGACAAAUAUUAAUAUAUAAAAAAAUCAUUCAUGUAUACACAAUAAACAAGUAAUAAGCAAAUAAAAGUGAAACAUUCUUUUAAAAUAAUAAUGAAAGCGUAAAUAGAUAAAUAAAUAAAGAAAAUGAAUAAAAUUAUAAGAAUGUAAAAAGAUAUAUGUAUGUACAUAUAUAUAUAAAUUAUAAGAUAUAAUAAGAAAUAUAUAUAAGCAUGUAUAUAUAUAUUUAUAAAAAUUAAAAAAUAUGUAUAUAGAUAUAUAUAUGCAUAAAAAUUAUAAAUUAUAAAAUAUAAAAAAAAUAUAAGAAUGUAUAUAUAUGUAUAAAUUAUAAAUAAGUUAUAAAAAUAUGUACGGGUAUAGGUAUAUAUAUAUUAUAAAAAUGUAUGUAUGUGUAUAUAUAACAAUAUAUGCAUGUGUAUAUAGAUAACAAAAUUUGAAGUUUAAAAAGUAUAGAUAAUAAUAUUAAUGAUGUAAUAUAAUAAUAAUAAUAUAUUAAAAUGAUCAAUUUAAUAAUAAAUAACUAAAAUACCAAGCAGAGGACUAAAUCGAAACUAAACAAAACUUUAGGGCCGAAAUCAAAAAUGAAGAGUAGAGAAAAGGACUAAAUCAUAACGCGUCUGAAAGGAAAAGGACCAAAAAAGAAAUAAACCAAGUCACCCAAAACGCAGCGUUGCAAUGGACUAAAAUGAAAUCAGUGAGAAAUUAUGCAGUCCAAUUUGAAGAAUAAAAAAAAUCAAAUUAAAACAAAGUGCAAAGGUGGAGGGCUUAAUGCGCAAAUAUCCCUCCAAAGUAAAAAAACACGCGGAUCCUUCUCAGGGUCGGGUCACUGCGCGGGUCAGGGCUAAAACGGCAUCAUUUUGGCUCCUGACCCUAAACAGCAAAACGCCGCCGUUUAAUAACCUUUAUUUAAAACAUAUUUUUUCUUAGAAAAAAAAUCAUUUUUUAGGGUUUUAGAAUAAAAUUGCAGAGGAAGAAACUCUCCUGUCGUCAGCCGAAUGGGCCACCAUCGGCCCCGCCGUGGGCGGUGGGCAGAAGGCCAAAAGUUGGGUUUUUUAAACCCCGCUUCAAGGGCCGUCUGAAGAUCGAGUUUUCAUGACCCUAAGGCCAUAGGAAGAAACCCCAAACGUCGCCUUCCCCAUCCGCUUUCGGUGACUCGAAGGACUCCGGUGACGACACUUACACGGCGAUUCAGGUAUGUUUUCCUUUCUCUUUUUAUUCUAUUUAUUUCGUAUGUAAAAAAAAAGAAGAAAUGGACCGAGAGAAAAAGCCAAUCGGAAAAUGUAAAAGGAAUCACCUUUAAAACUGUUUUCUUUUUUUAUUUCUUGAAUGUUCGUGGAAAAAAAAAGAAAAAAGACCCCCUUACAGAUGUAAAGAUCGGUUUUUAAAUCGAUUCUCCCCCCAAAAAAAUACAAAAAGUUUUUUUUUUAUUUCUUUCUAUUCUUCCUGUCACUGCUUCGGUUGCUUUGCAAGUACUUGAUGGUGGCAAGUGGCGGUGGGUAGGUGACAGAGGGCAAGUGAGCGGCGAUGUGACAAUGGCGGCUAAUCAGGGCAAGUGGGCGACAGAGGCUGCGACGCUAGGCUAGGGUUUCAGAAAAUUGAAACCCUAGUUUGACUGGGUUUGUUGGGCUGGUUUUUGGUCUGUAUUUGGGUUGUUUGUUUGGGCCAAGUUUGGGUUGAUAUGGUUAUAAUGGGCCCUUUGUAAUUUUUUGGGUUUGCCUGGGCAAAAUUCGGCUGUACACCCUUCUUUCCACGACUUGCUAUUGUUGCAAAUUUUUGAAGACUGACACCUUUCCUUUUAAAGAUUCGAUGUGGAAUGAAGAGAUGGAGGCUUUGGGAAGCGAGGAAGAGGAACCACUCAAACCUCCUGCUUUGCUUAUCAUGUCUUUAAUGGACUCCUUAUCGUCCACUCUCCCUUCAUCCAAUGGGUAUUGUGAUGGGAUAUCAAGUGCAGUCAAUCCCUUAGCAUUUUUGCAUUGAUAUGGUCAGCACACAAGCGUUUCAACAGUAAUUUUACCACCUGUUAAUUAGAAUAUUCAUACAAGUAACCUUUGAGUAUAUAUAUACAUAAAUAAUUUCACUUGCAAAAUUAUCAUACCUUAGGUCUGUUUCUGAUAGCAGCAACAUGUAAAACAAUGUUGCCAUCAAUGUCUGCCCAACUCAGAAGUUCUUUCUCCCAACAGUUGGCAGCUUUAUGGCGGCUCCUUAUAAGCCACCCCACCAAGACUUGGAAAGCUUCAAACCUGUCAUUUUUUACAUGAUUCUUUACAUGUUUUUGGUUCCACUGCAUAUUAUCAUGUAAAAGAAUCUAAGUUAGACCCAAGAGCAAAGAAAGCAUUAUUCAUGGGUAUAACUGGUGGAGUAAAAGGAUACCGUCUCUGGUGUCCUGAUACAAGGAAAAUUAUUUUCAGUAGAGAUGUGACUUUUGAUGAAUCAACCAUGAUGAAGAACAAUGAUUCACAAAAGGAUAACACAACCAAUGGCACUUUGCAGCAGGUGGAGCUUGAAAAGGUUAAUGAUGAUCCAGCUAAUAUUGAAGGAACAAAUGAUGAAGAAGUUUCGACCCAAGAACUUCUACAGCAACAUGAUUCAAUUGCAUAUAGAAGGCCAAGAAGAGAGAUUUGUAUGCCUGCUCGCUUUAAUGAUAUGGUGGCCUAUGCACUUCCAAUUACAGAUGAUGAUGUUCCUUCUACUUACACAGAAGCAAGAAGUAACCCUGAUGGUGUAAAGUGGAAGCAAGCUAUGAAUGAAGAAAUGCAGUCUCUUCAUAAAAAUAGGACUUGGGAGUUGGUGACACUACCCAAAGGAAAGAAGGCAAUUGGAUGCAAAUGGGUAUAUUCAAAGAAGGAAAGAUUUCCUGAUAAAAAUGAAGUUCGAUACAAGGCUAGAUUGGUAGUAAAGGGUUACGCUCAGAAAGAAGGAAUAGACUACAAUGAAGUAUUUUCUCCAGUUGUGAAGCAUUCGUCUAUUCAGAUUUUGCUAGCCUUGGUUGCGUAAUAUGAUCUUGAACUAGUUCAGCUCGAUGUGAAGACCACAUUUUUACACGGUGAUUUGGAAGAGGAAAUCUAUAUGACUCAGCCAGAUGGAUUCAAGGUUACUGAUAAAAAAAAUUGGGUUUGCAAACUGACAAAGUCACUUUAUGGAUUGAAACAAUCUCCGAGGCAGUGGUACAAGAGAUUUGAUCAGUUCAUGAAAGGGCAAAGGUAUACAAGAAGUAAAUUUGAUCAUUGCGUGUAUUUUUAGAAGCUACAAGAAGGAUUUUUCGUAUACUUGCUCUUAUAUGUUGAUGAUAUGUUGAUAGCAUCUAAGAGUAAAGUUGAAAUUGAGAGAUUGAAGACUCAACUCAACCUUGAGUUUGAGAUGAAAGAUCUAGGUGAAGCUAAGAAGAUCCUUGGCAUGGAAAUAUGUAGGGAUAGAGCUCAUGACAGAGUUAGUUUGUCUUAGAAGCAAUAUUUAAAGAAGAUACUACAGAAGUUUGGCAUGAACGAGCAGACUAAAGUUGUAAGUACCCCGUUGGCUUCUCAUUUCAAGCUUUCUACACAACUCUCUCCUUCGACAAAUAUGGAACAAGAAUACAUGUUACAAGUUCCGUAUUCUAAUAUGCAAUUGUGUGUACAAGACCCGACAUUUCACAGGCAGUUAGUAUAGUGAGCAGGUAUAUGCAUAAUCCUGGAAAAGGACAUUGGCAAGCUGUGAAAUGGAUUCUACGGUAUAUUCAUAAGACCAUGGAUAUUGGAUUACUGUUCAAGCAGGAUACUACACUUGGUAAAGGUGUUGUUGGGUACGUUGAUUCUGAUUAUGCCGGUGAUUUGGACAAACGGAGAUCAACCAUUGGUUAUGUGUUUACUCUUGCUGGAGGACCAAUAAGUUGGAAGUCUACACUGCAGUCUACAGUUGCGUUGUCAACCACAUAAGCUGAAUACAUGGCUGUAACAGAGGUUGUAAAGGAAGCUAUUUAGUUACAAGGUAUGGUUAAAACCUUGGGUUGGUUCAGGAGCAUAUUAAUGUGUAUUGUGAUAGUCAAAGUGCUAUUCAUUUAGCAAAGAAUCAAGUCUAUCAGGCACGUACAAAGCAUAUCGACGUACGUUUCCAUUUUGUGCGGGAAAUUAUUGAUAACGGGAAAAUUCACCUUCAGAAGAUUAAGACUGCAGAUAAUCCUGCAGAUAUGAUGACCAAGGUGGUAACAACAAUCAAGUUCGAACAUUGUUUGAACUUGAUCAAUAUUCUGCAUGUUUAACACUUGAAGAAUCCACUAUCAAGUGUUGUUGACAAAGGCAGAGAGAAUUGUGUGAAGAUAAGAUUACUCGAAUCAAAUCUUCAAGGUGGAGAUUAUUGGGAAUUAUCCAUAUUUAUGGAAAAUCAAAGAUAUGGGUAUCAAAUAAUAGAAAUUCAAAGAUAUGGGUAUUAAAUAUUGGAAAGUCAAAGAUAUGGGUAUCGAGAUAUUGGCAUCAUAAAAUUUGAGAUAUUUGCAAUAUAUGGUCUCUAAUUGUAAAGUGACUUUGCAAGUUGAUCCCUGAACCUCAACUAUAAAUAAGCAUGACCAUCUCUCAUUCUGUAUCUCAAACUUGCCAUUCUUUACUUAAGGCAUUGUUUUCUCUCUCUCUCUCUUUGUAAAUUCUCACUUGUAUUUUGGAGUGAAAUAUAUUUGGUAGUGGCCGAGGAUGUAGGCAAAAUUUGCUGAACCUCGUUAAAUUAUUGUGUUCUUUAUUGUAUUAUUCUGCAUGAAUUGUGUGUGUGAUUGUAGUGAUUUAUUGUGCCAUUAAAUUACGAUUGAGGGAUAUUCUGGCUAAGGAAGACCUGGUACUUAAGCGAUCCUUGUGAUCCACCUCUCUUUCCUGGGAAUUGAACUUAGUGUGAUUUUUUAGUACAAAAAUUUUACUCUUUUACACGCUUCCGCACAACAUCUUUAAUGAUAAAAGCUUAAAGAAUAAUCUUUAAAAUUUGGUUGUUGGUAGCUUUAUUUGGGUAGAAUUUGAGAUUUAGUUCAUAUAUUUUAAAUGUUAAAAUUUUAAUUUUUUUUACUUUUUCAAUUUAAUAUUGUAAAAUAAAACCAUAAAAAAAAUUGUGUACAAAUAGUAUUGAAUUUACAUAAAAAUAUAUAAAAAAUGCAGCAUAAAUUUGAAUAAUAAUACAUGAACACUUAAAAUGAUAAUAUAUGAAAAAAAACUUAAGAUAAUAAUAUACGAUAAAUUUAAACAAUAUUAAUAAUGAAUUUAAAAUAAUAUUAAGCAUAAAUAUUAAAAUAAGGUUAGAUUUAAAAAUAUAUAAAAAUAAUGGAAUAAUAAAUACUUAAAUAAAUUAGAAAAAUAAGCAAAUUAAAUCAAGCUAAUAAGGAUUAAAUUGGAUUUAAAACAAAAUUAGAAGGCAAAAACGUAAAUAAAAUAAAAUAAAGGACCCAAUUGAAAGGCGCGAAUAACUCAAAGGGACCAAAUGGGGAAAUAUCCCCGCCUUUUGAAAUGCAUCGUUUCACCAGGACCAAAUCAGAAACCAAAUAAAAUUUAAAGUAUCAAUUGAAGAAAAUAAAAAAAAUUGAAUUAAAAUAAUAAAAAAUACGGAGGGGGCAAAUGCAUAAAUAUCCUUACCAAGACCAGAACAGGCAGAUCUAGCUGCCUCUGGGUCGAGUCAUCGGGUAUAGUCAAUACGGCACCGUUUUGGAGCCAUUGAAACAGACUUUAAAUGGUGCCGUUGCAUGGCCUUUAUAAAACAAAAAAAAAAAGAAAAAUAAACAAGUUUUUAGCCAUUUCGAAUCAGAUAAAAACCUUAGCCACACGCCGUUUAGAAGCCUGGCCAUUCAAAGGCCAAUCGAUCCCUGUCUGAACUUCGAUUGCGACAGAGUGAGCAAGGAUUCGACACCACCAAGUAAUUUUCUCACCUUAAAUCGUUUUUUUCUUUUUUUACACAUGAUGAGUAAACAAAUAGAUGAGUCUAGAACAGAAAAGAAAAACAACGAAAAGAAAAAAAAAGGUUUCAAAUCACCUUUAGAAAAUUCUGAUUCUUUGAUUUUUCGUCCCCUUUUAUAGAUUUUUAAUUGGCUUUUUAUAGCCGAAACGAAAAAAAGAAAAUAUGUAAAAAAGAAAUCUAUUAUGUUAUCUAGCUAUUUUCAUUUGCUGGCAUAUUGUUGCUCGCUUUUUACUGUUAUUCGUUUCUGUUUCAGGUGUACGAAGGAGCGAUGACGUGGAGGUGCAACACGCGUGGAGGCCUGGUUCCCAGCUGCGGCGUGGACUGUUCCAAAAACCCUAGGGGUUUCUGGAGAUUUCAAAUUGGGCCACUUCAAAUCGGGCUAGGGUUUAAUUAAGUCUAGGAUUGUAUUAGGUCUAGGAUUGGGUUAGAUUUUGGGUUUAGGCCUCAAUCCGAAUUUGGCCUAUUGUAACUGAACUUUUGGACUUAUUAAUGGUUAUUUUGGGUAUUGGGCUAUUAGGGUUUGUUGGGUUUGGGUUUUAGAUAUUUGGGCUGAUUUGUGUUUGUUUAUUUUGGGUUGUUUGUGUAAUUCUGGAAUUUUUAUUUUAUUGGACUUUUAUUUUUUGAUUUGGUUUUUUUUUUGUGUGGGCUCGAGCAGAUUGGGCCUGCUACAAUAUUGAUGCAAAACUUUGUCACUAAAGUGCAAAUUGUAACAAUAGUUAAGUAGUCUUUUGUUCGAAUAACAUUAGAAGCACAUCAAAGUCAAAGCACAUAGACUUUAAGUUCAUUGUUGUUAAAAUAAAAGUUUAGGGUGGUUAGAUGUCUAUAAAGUAUAUUGAGACAAACUCCAUGGUUGUGGAUUCGCUUAUUAAGGGACUACCACCCAAAGCUUUUUUCCUGAGCACACUGUUGAUAUGUGUGUAAUGUCAUUCAAGGAUAUUUGAUUUUAGUAGGAGUUUGUACUUUUAAACGUUUUUAUGUUAUAAAUACAUUUUCAAUUAUUUUAGUUUACAAAUAUUAAGUUUUUUUUUUGUAGAAAGAAAGUUUAUUUGGUAAAGUUUGAUCUCACUAAGAUUAAUGUGGACCGGUUAGAAUAUGCAUGUUUGAAUCAUAUUACAUGUAAUUUUCAUGUUACACAUCCAUACUUAAUCUAUGUCAUUUGGUUGUGCUAAUAUAUGUGAUUAAGGCUGGAUUUAGUUAUGAUAUAUGUAACAAAGUUGCAUUCUUUCUAUGUUAACAUAAUUAAUGGACAGAUUGUUCGAAAUGCCUUUUAGAUACGAUAGUAAAAUUUUGAGCUCAUAAGGUUAUAUAAUGACAUGUAAUUAUAAGGUAAUCGGUAUAUAUAUAUAUGUCAUCCAAGUGGUAUAUAUGGACAUCACAUAUAUAAUAAGCAUGUUACAUGUUAUUAUUUACUAUCAUAAAAGAUUAACUCAAAUUAAAAGUGACCUAAUUUGGUUAAGAUUUAUUGGAUUUUAGUUAUUAAAUAAAAUAUAGGUCAAUAAUAUGUGUAGAUACUCUAGUAACUAAUUUCUAAUUUAUGAUGGGCUGAUUAGAAAUUAGGUUAAUGUGAAAAUGUUAUAUAUUAGGAUUUUAGUCUCCAAGUUACGCAUAUGUAACUUUUCUAAUAUCCCAUCUUGAGAAAAGAGAGAGUCACCUUCUUUAGAUUACUUGUGAGCUAAUUUGGAAGAUCAAAACCUUAAAAUUCGUAGAUUUCAAGAAAUCGGUAAAUUCAAAUACGCUUCUGCAUUUAGUUUUGUUCUUAAUUAUUUGACAUGAUAGAUUCUGAUUUAUUAAGUUUUGUAAAAGAGUUUUACGGUUUUAAUAGGAUAAUUACGAAUCCCAAAUAUAAACUGUAAAACGGACAUGAAGAAUAUAAAAGAAAUAUUACAAGAAUUUUGAAAGAGAAAAUUAAAUUGAAAAUUUUAAUGUUAUUUUUAUCUUUCAUAAUUAUUUUUAUUUAUAUUUUAUUUACAAGAACAUUUUAUUAAGAGUUUAUUAGGAUUAAGUUUAUUUUUACUUUUAUUAAAUAAAUGUUAGACUAAAAAUAAACUUUUUUUUCCACUGUUGGUAUAAUGGAUAGUAGGCUAGGUUGUCCUUUUUUAUUUGUUUAGGCACCCGUGUAUGAGAAUAAUUUAUAUUAGAAUAGUCCUAAAGGUUAAAGAUUUUAAUAUUAAUAAAAUUUUGUCACAUCAUUAAAUUUUAAAAAUAUAAAAUUAUUAUUAUACAUUCGUUCAUAUUAAAUUUACUUUUUAACUUUCGUUCUUCUUAAACAUAAAUAAUUAAAAUAAAAAUAGAAAAAUAGAAUAUUUAAAAUUUAUACAAUCCUUAAAGAUUUAAUCCAAUAUUUUUUUUUGUUUUAAAAAAUGUAUAAUAUGAAAUAGAAAAAAAAAUUAAAAUGGAAAAACUCCAUUGCCUAUAAACUAAUUUUUUUUAAAAAAUUGGUUACAAAAAUUAAAAAUAUUAACUUCUGAAAAAAAACUAAAAAUGAUUAAAAUUUAUAAAAGAAGAAAAGAUGUUUAUUUAUAAUUUAAAAAAAUUAAUUAUUUUAAGUAAUUUAAUUAAAGUUAAAUUAAGUUAAGAAAAAGGAGAAAUGGAUAAGUAUAUAAUAAUACAUAAUUUGUUAAAUAUAUAAAGAAAUUUAUUUGAUUUAGUACCUAAAUAUUAAUAUUCGAAACUCUCGAUUUUUCACAAUUUAUUCAAUCAAAUUUAGAUCCAACUUUAAUUAUAUUACAAAGACAUUCUAUUUUAUUAUUUUAUUAACGGGUGAAAAAACUUAGUUCAACCCAUAAACAUUGACCACAAAGGGAAAUUUGAAACACUUACCACCAAUCCCCUAUCAGAAAGUCUUUCCCACAUUCAACUAGAAAUCAGAGCUCACCAAAAUGUUUAUUCUUUUCAAUCUGAACCGACUCUACAAUCACUUAUUGCUCAUGGUCUUCAGCCUAUAAACCCAGAAGCAUUAUUAACUUCUAAAUCCAAAACACUAAUAUCAGCAUCCAACCCUACAAUGGUAGUCUUAUUGACUCAUUUAAACAAGUUUCCUUUGUCAAUCUAUAUUCCAUAUUGGGUAAUCUCCAAUAUUAAUUCAGAAUUUAGGAUAGCUGGAACAAGAAUAACAGCAAAGAUGCAAAGCGAAACGACUUGUAGGAGGAGGAAGAACCUUCUUUUGGGUACAAACCUGUAUAGCAUAUAAUAGGAUGUCCUGUAUAAUGUCACGAGAGCUAGUACCGUUGCCAAGCAGUAAUUAGUAGUGCUGAGUUUAGAAUAGGAAACGGAUCCAGGAGUCGAAAGAUAGAAAAAAUACUGAAGUGCGAGUGUCCGUAUGGAAACAGCAACCAAAAGCAUGUAACAGGUCCCAAACAAGGAAAGUGUUAUGAGAAUAAACAAGGACAUUGAACGGCUGGGUAGGAGAUACGCUGUUAAAACAGUUGUUGCCCAAAAGGUUAAAGUGUUGUAUAACCAAAACAUUGUGGACACGUCUAGUAUAUUUUCUAUUUUUUUUUCUUCAGCGGGUGGAGGACUUGGUACGGGUCCAGUGCUGGUUGAACCUAAAGAUAUGUCAUACGUGAGAUGGAAAUUCUGGGAAUUUGAAAUGGUAUCAGGCUGCUUUGGAGG
rnacentral:lncRNA from 1 species